AAGCAAUAGAAGACGCAUUCAUCUAAACGAACAAUUUUCAUCUUUUGCCGAGUAAUUUUAGCCCAAGAGAUUAGAAGAAAAAUUCCCAGUUCUGAAAAAUUAAACAAGUUAUCCAAUAUUGAAACAAGCACAGACGUAAUAACAGCCAUUCAUAACAAUAAAGCCAAGUUAUUUAGAAGGUAAUUUAAUUUCUAUCUAUCCUCGUUUCAUAAGUCUCCUAGAUGUUAUGUUAACUGCAGUAAGUUGCUAGACUGGAAUUUUUGUGGUAAUUUCGUCGAUGAUGUUUCAGUUGAUAGAUUUAAUCUUUUUAAUAUAAGUUGAUCUGUUGCCUUGGUAUUGCUGAUAAUAUAGCAUAAUUAAUGUUAGUGCAUAUGUAUAAGAUGUUAAACAUUUUUGAAUGUUGACGCUGAUGUUGUUAUUAUAAUAUUGCCAAUGUUAGUAGAUGUAUAACACAUGAUACACGUUGUCAAUGACAUUCUUGAUAAUAAUACAGCAACGUUAAUGUUAGUUCUCGAAUAUCUGAUGAUAGUUACUUUUGUUACUUUAUAAGUUCAUUGCCUAUAUUACUUCCCUAUGUUCAUGCUGCAGUUACCAUUGCUAAUGUUGUUUUUGUUGUUGCUGUUAUUAUUAUUAUUAUUAUUAUUAUUAUUAUUAUUAUUAUUAUUAUUAUUAUUAUUAUUAUUAUUAUUAUUAUUAUUAUUAUUAUUAUUAUUAUUAUUAAUAUUAUUAUUCUAAUUAUUAUUAUUAUUAACACAUUAACACUAUUACGCGAGCUGGUUGAAUUCUUAACUCUUCAAUAAAAGAAGCAUCAGUUAAGCAAUGGGAUUGAUAUAAUCGACUAGUUUUCUUUCCCUUUUAAAUUACAUGGUUUGAGCCUAUAGAAAAAAUUACUAUUAGGUGGUGUUAUAUGGGUUUAUUUCUUCUAUGCAGCUGAAGGUAGUGAAACGAAGUUGCAGAAAGCAUUUGUAUUCAUAUGUGUCCGGAUAAUCUGGAUUUUUACGUGGAGCGUCCCAUAUCACCAUUGUGGUUCAACCCUAAUUUGAUGAUACCUUCUUGUUAUUUUUGUUGUUGCUCUUCUUGCAUUAUAGUUCUUUAUUGCUAUAGGUUUAUUUUCACUCUUUUACACAGUGUAGUUACCAAAUUCUACUGUAUCCUCGUACUGUAAAUACUCAACGUCUCGGAAUCUUGUAGGUAAUAGGAUAGUGGGCAGGCUAAAAAGUUCAUAGGCUGACUAUGAUAGUGUGUCGCUAGAGUUGUGAAAUCUUGCAUGCAUUCAUUUUAAUUCUUCUUAUUAUUAACUGCAUUGCUUCGUUCCAGAUAAACAUAUACCAAACUGUUUAAAGAAGACUUUAAAUGUAACUAGUAGCAACAUGUGUUGAAAAUGGACAAUAUUUGGCACCGUGGUGUUAUCCAGUACCUGCAGAAAAAAGAUAUAGCCCCCAAUGACAUUCAUGUUCACAUAGUUGAUAUAUUAGAGGAUGAUGUUUCAGCUUUAUCAACAAUGCAAAAGUGGGAGCUGAAUUUGGGAGGGUAAGGGGAAGUUUUAAAGACGAUCCAAUGUCUGGACAUUCUGCAACUGACACCAUUGCGGAAAACAUUGAUUGUGUUCACCACAAGCUGAUGGAUGACAGGUGAGUGACUAUAAAUCAAAUAGCCAAUGCUGCUAACAUGUCUUAUGUGAGAAUUAAGAAUAUUCAGCGAGAUGAACUUUGCCUGACAAAGGUUUCUGCUCAGUGGGUGCCACGUCUUCUGACUCCUGAUCAAAAGCGCACUAAGCUAAUCAAAUCACGGAAAAAUCUGACAUUGAGGCAGAUUCUGCUAGUUUACAUGGAUGUUUCCAAAUCCAGGAUGAUUGUAGGUUGCAUUACUUUGAACCAACGACAAAGAGGUAAUUCAUGUGGUGAAAACACUCCACCUUAGUUGCUCCAAAGAAGGCUAUGAUCGUUUCAUUUCAUCUAUAGGGAAGGCGAUGGCCACUCAUUCUCGAGAUGCAAAAGGCACCGAGUUUAUUGACUACUUCAAAAGGGCCACACCUUCAAUGGAAAGGGAGUACUAUUCCAACUUGCUGAGGUAGUUACGAACGUUUAUCAAAACCAAACACCUAGGAAAACCGACAGGAGGGUCUUUUUUUAAGAAGACAAUAUUCUAAUGCACAAACCAUUGGUUUCAAUGGCUGCUGUGCGUUUUAUGGCUUUAAAAUGAUUGAUAACAUUCCUUAUUCUUCUGAUUUGACCUCUUCUGGCUAUCAUCUGUUACCUAAACUGAAACAAAAAAAGCAACACUUGGCUGGGAAGCAGUAUCGCAGUGAUAAUGACGUCAUAUCUGCUGUUGGUGACUUAUCAGACUAACAGGAUGAAAGCUCGUCGCCAAUGGGAUCCAAGCAAAGCAACAACAAUGGAAGGUAUGUGUGCACCGCAAGGGAAAUAAUCUUCACUUGGUCACAUUCCAUAAGUAUCUUAGUCAGCCUAUGAACUUUUCACCCGUCCCUCGUAAAUUAUCACUCUAUCACUAUCCUCCUCCUCUUCCUUCGCCUCUCCUCCACCUCUGCCUCUCAUCCCCCUCCUCCUCCUCCUACACGUCUUCUUCCACCACCAUCAUCACCACUACCAUUUGAAAUAGAACCCCUCAAUACCUCAACCAUUCUAUUGAUCUAAAGGUAAUAGAUUGUGGUGUGUAUAUUUUACCAUCCAAGUACUUUGGUCACAGCAGUAGCAAAAACAUAGAUAUCUAAAGAUAUCUAAUUUUCUAAUAAAGCUCGUGUUGAUGUCUUCGCUAUAGCAUAUGAGAAUUUCAACUACUUGCUAACGUGUGGAUUGCCAUGAACGAUAGUCAAGGGUUAUCAUGUAUGGUGGUCCACACACGCCAGCAAGUAGUUGAAAUUUCCAGAAGGAGAAGAGGUUUCAAUCAAUUCGAUGUGUAUGUGAUAAAGUCUAGCUUUUGAUGUUCCUGCUUGCUUCCUCUUUCGAAUUGCUCUUUUGUGUGAUGCAUGCUGAAUUUUUUCCCUCUCAAAUUACGCUACACCGUCAAAAAUUGUUUUUCUCCUCUUUGCUUUAUAUGAAGCUUGUUAUUCCCUGUUCUCAAAAGAAAUAGCACAUUUCUUCACAUUUUUUUUUUCAGUUUUGCUACCACUGUUUUUUUGUGUGGUUUUCCUCUUUGUUUCAAUUUCCCAUAAAACCGCUAUGGACUUCUGGUAUUACUCAUUUGCACAAGAUGUCAGCUCCACCUUGAAAUACUCUGUAUAAUGAUUGGUUUAACUCAAGUCAUUUGAAGUUUUUCUGGAACUUGAGCAUUCGGUGUAUGCGUGGUCUAAUUCACAUUGAGUAUAUGCUUCAAGCAGCAUUGGUGAAACCGCCCGAGUAUCUUAACUUGGUGUUUGUAAAUCAUCCAAGUUUCACAGCCAUACAAUAUAACUAAGAGCACACUAGUUUUUGUGUUUAAUUUAACCUCAUAUUAUAGCCAAAGCCUGCUCCAAUACAUACAUACAUACAUACAUACAUACAUACAUACAUACAUACAUACAUACAUACAUGCUUACGUACAUGCUUACAUGCAUGCAUGCAUAAAGGGAAUAAUAAAUAGUACUUAGAAGAAAAUUUUUAGAUUAUGAGUAGUCAGGUAAAACGUCUUUUAAUACGUCUACCCUAAUCGUUAUAAGCUUCUUAUCUUUCGUGGGACAGAAGACAAAUUUCUUUCUCCGAUGAAAAUCUAAAAUGGACAGAAACUAAUAAAAUCUUUGUCAUUUGUUUUUUCUAUCCAUAGAAGUUAAUUUUCUAUAACCAUUUUUUUUUCUUCGAUAACGGGGUUAAAAUUGGAUGUUUAUUUAAAAAUGUAUAUCUUUGAUUACAUUUUCUAUAAAUGCACGCGCACACACACAGAUAUACACAAACUUGCACAUACACACACCUAUACUUAUACGGUUUCGAUCUUUUGAAGAACAAAAACAUAAAUCUACGAAUAAAACACGACGAAACACUUUCCCUUCUACAAUUUAUUCUCUUAUUCUUUUACUUGUUUCAGACAUUUGACUGUAGCCAUGCUGGAGCACCGCAUUCAGUCGUACAAAUGAACCACGAGCUUACUCUUUGUAAGUCUAGUAUAUUCCACUUGUCACUUUUGCCGAACCACUAAAUUAUGGGGACGUAAACGCAGACACCCACACAAAUAUACAAACAUACAUAUAUAUAUAUAUAUAUAUAUACAUACAUACGACGGGCUUCUUUCAGUUUCUAUCUAUUAAAUCCACUCACAAUGCGUUGAUUAUCCCAAGGCUAUAUUAGAAGACUCUUGCCCAAGGUGCCACGCAGAGGGACUGAACCCAGAACCAUGUGCUUGGGAAAUAAGCUUCUUAACACACAGCCACGCCUGCACCUGUGACAUUUCUUUUUUGUACUUUAAUGCACAUAAGCGCAUGUGUGCACACACACUCACACACACAAUCUCACACACAAACACACACGCAUACAUAUAUAUCCGUACUUAUACAUGUGUGCAUGCUCAUGCUGAUAUGAAUGCAUAUGUAUAUCAAUGAAUACAGAUAUAUAUAUCAUCUAGCGUGUAUAUAUAAGAAAGCAUUAAAACUUGCUGUCAAAAAGUGACAUGCAACUAUUUUUAAUGUGUUUGUCGCAUUUUUCAAUAAAUCAAACAAGAAAUUUUUAUUACAAUUUUCGUCGAACUAAAUUCCCAUUUGAUAGAAACAAUAAAUCAGUAGUGAUCUCUUGUCUAAUCGUUAGAUGUUUUUAUAUCUGCCUGCUUGUUUGGCUGCCUUUCUCCCACCGAUUCUCUGUAAUUUUCUCUCAGUCUCUCUCUCUCUCUCGCUUUUUUUAGUCUAUCUGUACCCUCAAAAUAAUGCCAGACAUGUAAAAAAAGAAAAAAAACUGGAAACAAAGAAGGAAAUUGAGAAGGAAAGGAAAGGCGAAGUAAAUACACCUAUGUGUAUUAAAUUAUCGAUUGUUCUCAUUCACUAAGUUUCAGUUGAUGCACAAGAAUACCAUUUUCUUCUGUUUUCGCAUAAGAUGGAUGUAAGAUCAAAUGAUAGCAGACAGGCGGCCAGACGAUUGGAUAAAAUAAAAUAAAAGACUGUUCACCAUAUUGUCUCACUAAAACGUUAAGAAAAAAGAUAGUAGAGAAUAAUGAAAUGAAAGCGUUGUAUAAAAGGAAAUAUGUACGAGACGAAAGAUGUGUGGACAGGUUAAGCCAUGAAAGUGAGGUCGAUGUUAGAAGUUCAACAACGGAAUCUUAGUACUCUAAAAUGAAUAUUGAUCAAUGUGUAUGCGAAAUCAGCUAUACAUUUUUUGCGUUCUAAAGAGACGUUAGAAUUGUCUUUUUAAAAUAUAAUCAAUCUGAUUCAUAUGAAGCACUUAAAAUAUUUUUUGUAAAAAUUAUUGUUUGCUUUAGAAAAAACUUUAACGAAAAUAUAUAAGAGGUAUUUUCGAGUUGACAAAGAAGUAAAAAAAAUUAAAAUAUAUGUUUUUCUCAAGUAAGUUGAUUUUCAUCAAAUCAAUCUUUAUUUGAAGCUACGACAAUAGUGUCUACAGACGUUUUUCACCCCCCCCCCACACACACACAAACAGCCAAAUAUAUAUAUAUAUAUAUAUAUAUAUAUAUAUAUAUAUAUAUAUAUAUAUAUGUCCAAGAUGCAUCUCAAAGGUAAUUUGAGACGCAUCUUGGACAUCAAGUGGGCCGACGACAUCACCAGCACCGAAGUCCUCAACAGGGCCAAGAUACCCAGCAUACACAUCUUGCUCCACCAGCGUCGUUUGCCCUGGCUCGGCCAUGUUCAUCGCAUGCCAUACGGAUGGAUUCCAAAAGACCUCCUGUAUGGGGAAUUUGCCACCGGUACAAGAGCACGAGGACGACUUCAUCUUUGUUUCAAAGAUGUUUCUAAGAGGAAUAUGAAGUCGCUUGAUCUGGACGUCCUGAGAUGGGAGGAAAUUGCAAAUGAUCGUCCACAUAGGAGGGAAAUACUGCAAAAUAUUUGGUGUUAAGAAAUGACAGAAACUGAAAAGCAUCAGAAAAAAAUUGCCAGUUGGUAUUUUGUUGCUUUCAUUUAUAAGCUGAGUUCGAAUACAAUACCAUUGGCUUUGUCUCUGUAUGAUGUUCUUUGGGGCAGUUGAUAAAAUAAAAUACCAGCUGUCCACAUAUAUCGAAUAGCUCUACAAAAUAUAUCCAAUAACAUCUUCGUUACUGUUAUUAUUAUGAUUAUUGUUAUUAUUAUUAUUAUUAUUAUUAUUAUUAUUAUUAUUAUUAUUAUUAUUAUUAUUAUUAUUAUUGUUAUUAUUAUUAUUAUUAUUAUUAUUAUUAUUAUUAUUAUUAUUAUUAUUAUUAUUAUUGUUGUUAUUAUUAUUAUUAUUAUUAUUAUUAUUAUUGUGCGAGAGAGCAGUGCAUGCCUUCAAAAUGACACUGGGUUAAAAUAUACGAAGCCCAGUAUACCCAUCAUGACUACCCAUUUGAUAAGGGUACACUAGGCACAUACCUCACAACCAUAUGUACGUGAGAUGGUGAUCUCAUAUCAUGAUAAACAACACUUGACCUUGCAGGUGGGGCCCAGUUAGAAUUUUCUUCUGGUCGAGUAACCCAUUCCAGUCAAAAGGUUCCUGAAUAAGGGUUGUUUAAGGAUGUUGAACGAAACAUCCAUGUUUCCUGAGAUGAAUUAUUCAAACCCCAAAGAAUCCCACUCAACACAUGGUUAUCAUGCUCCACCACUAAUUCUGCUCGUGAUCAGAGAUGCACAUAUCAUCAGCCACUAAGGGACAUGCUCAACUGGUUAAGGUCAAACAAAUGAUAAGAAAAUAUGUGGCAUUGAGCAGAAUAUUUGCUGUAGCCCAUCUUUUAUACCAAGACAAAACAAUGUACAUGAUAACACUUCCAAUCAGUUAAGAUCAGAAGUCACGAGAGCCACUGCCUGGCACUGCAUCAGGGCAUUAUUAUUAUUGUUAUUAUUAUUAUUAUUAUAAUUAUUAUUCAGUAGUUUUAUUUUUAUAGCGUGCUUUCACUUCACUACCGAGCGCAGCUCUGUGUGCCUUGGGUAUGUGCUGUGAUUUAUUGUGAUGCUCUGAUGGUUAUUGUAUGGAAAGUGUUCUGCGUAGGAUGUGUGCAGUGCCUAGUAGUGCAAUUUUCUGUAUGUUAUAUGUGUUUGUAAGUCCUGGUGUUUUUGUUAUGUAUUUGUCUGAAUAUUUUUUAUCAUGCCUAAUGCACCUACUAUGAUAGGAAUUGUUUCUGUUUUCAGGUUCCACAUUCUAGGUACCUCUAUUUCCAGGUCUUUGUAUUUUGAGAGUUUCUCCAUUUCUUUUAGAGACACGUUGUCAUCUGCCGGUAUUUUCUUUUCUUCAUGAUCUCUGACAACUAUAUCUGGUCUGUUGGCCUUAAUUUCUCUAUCUGUGUGUAUCGGCAUAUCCCAGAGUAUGGUUGCUUUCUCGUUUUCUGUGACCUUUUCUGGUGUGUGCCUAUACCAUCUUUUUUCUGUUGUUAUUCCAUAAUGUUGGCAUAGUUUCCAAUGUAUGUAGGUUCCAACUCUGUCAUGUCUGUGAAUAUAUUCCUUCUUAGCCAGGACUGGGCAGCUAGAGAUAAUAUGAUUUAUUGUUUCUUGUCCAUCUCCACAUAUUCUGCAGUUACUUGUAAUAUUUCUUUUCAUUACAUGUUUUUGGUAAUUUCUGGUGGGGAGGUUUUGGUCUUGUGCUGCAAUUAAAAAUCCCUCUGUUUCUGCUUUGAGUCCUGAGCUUCUCAACCAUUGCUGGGAUUUUUCUUUGUCUAUUUCUUUUGCGUUUAGUUUAGUGCAGUAUUUACCAUGAAGGGGCUUUUCUUGCCAUCGUUUUAUCAUGGCUCGCUGCUGUUCUAUUUUUAGUUUGGAUUUCAUUUGUUUUAUAGCUUUUGUUGUUUCUUCAUCAUCUUCUUCUUCUUCUUUGUGUUUAUUAGGUGGUAUGAUUUCUUGUUUGUAUUUGUCAGCUUCCUUAAAUACUGAGAACAGUUUUUUGUUUUGCUCGUGUUUUGCUGCUAUCUGGAUCAGUUUUCCUUCCUUCUGAAGUAGGUAUUUUUGCAGUCUUAUGGUGGUUAUUUUAUAGUAGUUUUCCAGCUGUAUAAGGCCUCUACCACCUUCUAUACGUUGUAUAUAUAGUCUUUCUAUGUCAGAUUUUGGGUGAUGCAUCCUAGAUCCUGUCAGUAUUUUUCUUGUUUUCCUAUCUAUUUUGGACAGUUCAUUUCGUGUCCAGUUAAGGAUAUUGUAGCUGUAACUUAUAACUGGGACAGCUAAAGUGUUGAUACCUAUUAUCUUGUUUUUAGCAUUGAGCUCUGUUUUUAGUAUUGAUCUAACUCGUCUAUAAUAUUCUUUUUUUAUUUUCUCUUUCAUUUGUGUGUGUUGUGUCUUAUCUAGUUCAUGGAUUCCUAAGUAUUUGUAAGUUUGGCUUUGGUCUAAUUCUUUUAUUUCAUUGGUUUUAUCUAGUGUGAUGUUGUUACUCUUAACUAGUUUUCCUCUUUUCAUGGUUACUUUGGCGCAUUUUUCUAAUUCAAAUUUCAUAUCUAUUUCUUUGGUAAAUCCAUGAACUGUCUUUAAUAGUGUUUCCAGCUGUUUGUCAUUUGCAGCGUAUAGUUUUAGGUCAUCCAUAUAUAAAAGGUGGCUGAUCGUUUUGCCGUAACAUUUAUAUCCGCAUCCAGUUCUAUUUAGCAUAUCAGAUAGAGGUGACAGUGCCAAGCAGAAAAGGAGUGGAGAGAGCGUGUCUCCCUGGAAUAUUCCUCUUCUAAUGGGGAUGUCUUUGGUUUUCAUGAGUCCCUCUUUUGUUUGGAGGUGUAGGACUGUUUGCCAUUUAUUCAUAGAGUGCUCUAUGAAUUUUAUGAUUGUUGGUGCUACUUUGUUAAUGGCUAGUGUUUCGAGGAUCCAUGUGUGGGGGAUGCUAUCAAACGCCUUUUUGUAGUCAAUCCAGGCCAUACUGAAGCCUUUCUUCUUUCUGUGGCUGUCUUCAGUUACGGCUUUAUUAAUCAUUAGUUGAUCUUUACAGCCAUAUGAGCCUUUGCGGCAUCCUUUCUGCUCUUCUGGGAACAGUUUGUUUUCGUCCAGGUGCUUGUUCAGCCUUUGCGAUAUCACUGCAGUAAAUGCCUUGAACAUAGUAGGGAGGCAGGUUAUUGGUCUGUAGUUUUCUGGUUUUGUUGUUUCAUUUGAUUUGGGAAUUAAGAUGGUUUUCCCCUUCGUGAGCCAUUCAGGCAUUGUCUCUGGCUCUGCUAGUAUGCUGUUAAAGUUUUCAGCCAGCUUUUUGUGCAUUCCUGUUAGAUAUUUCAACCAGAAGUUGGGGAUCUUGUCAUGCCCAGGUGCCUUCCAGUUGCUUAGUUUAUGCAGUGCCUGGGUGACCUCUUCAGUUGUUAUGGGGGUCCAAAGUUGUUCAGAUGCCGAGUUUGUUAUUUUGGUACUCCUGUUUUUUGGCUGUUCGUUCGCCGACCAUAUUUCUCUCCAGAGUUCUUCCAAUUCUUCUACCGUUGGUGCUGCAGUGACUUCUAUUUUAUUUUUUCCCAGUUCUUGGUAGAACUUUUUGGGGUUGGAGUUGAACUUUUUGUUCUGUUCAAAGAAGCGUUGGCGUUUCUCGUACCGGCGAAUCCUUCGAGCUUUGGCAAGGAUAUCUUGCUUCAGCUUUUCUUUUAUCUCCGGCAAAUCUUUUUCUGUGAUGUUAUAUUUGCGGAGCAUUUUUGUUCUCUUUUUGUUGCUCAGUAGCGUUGCUUGUUUGCUGAUUUCAUUAAGAAUCGACAGGUCUUUUCUAAUUUUUUUAAAUUUUGUUUUGGAUGUUAUUUAUCCACAGGGUUUGUUUGGGUGGUGGUACUCCUGUUUGCGCGUGUUUGGGUGAGUAUCCAGCUUCUUUUGUGGCUGCAGUGGCUGCUGCGUAUAUCAAGUCAUUUAGUUCAGUGAUAUCACUUUUUUUUGUUUCAGUGGCUAGUUCAGUGACGGCUAGGUUUAUGUUGUUUAUAAUUGGUGUUGUUAUUGCGUUUAUUUUUAUUCUUGGGAGGUAUGGUCGGUGGUCCAUUUUGGGCUCUGUGGUUUUCAGUUCUUUGAUUAUUUUAUUUUUUAUAUUAUCAUAAUCAUUAGGCUCCCCUUCGUUGUUUACAUCGUGUUUGUUGGGAAUGUUUCGUUUGUCUUCGUGGUUUACAGUUUCCGUGUUUAUAUUAUUGGGCAUUGUUGUGUGGCUUCUAUCUACAUUUUCCUGGUGUAUUUUUUCUUUUAAAUGUUCUAUUUCUAUUUCUGAUAUUUUUUUGGCUUUGAGAAUGUAUCUUCGUACGUUAGCUAAUUUAUUAGGGUUCAUUGCUGUAUCCAAGUCUAUAUCUCUAUUAUUUUCCUUCCAUAUUUUAUAUGUAUGUGUUGUUGUAUUUUCAUUUUUUGGGUAGAGCAUUGCUGUGAAGUAUGCGUGUAAGAUAGAAAUGUAUUCCUCACGUGUCCAUUUACGUCUUUUGGGUUUUAUUUGCGGGACAUGAGGUACAACGUCCGGCCCAUUAUUUUGACGGUCGUCAUUUUCGUAGGGUACCGGUCCGUUUAUUUCUGUUGUCACAUUAUUUCGCACGUGUAGUGUUUCGUACAUUUUUUGUUGUAAGUUUAAUGUACGUACCGCUCGAUUGUUAUUCUUGGGUUGAAUAGUAUCGGUGGCAUUUAAUUUCUUCGUAGUUCCUUUGUACAUGGUGUUUGAGGUCGGGGAUGAUCGUGUUGUUCCACGCAUGUUUACAUGUGUUGUGUUAGAGGUGGAGAUAAUAUCGAGUCAAAAUACAUCAUUUCGUUUCGAAAAUAGUAAUAAAUUUCAAUUAGUAUUACUUACUCGGAUAUAGUCCAAUUCUUUGUUAGUAAAUCUUUGGCUCCAUAGGGUGUCCUUGUUUUCGAUGUUUGUGGAUAGAUUUCGGAGCUCUGUAUUUUCCUUCUUACAUCUUAAACGUCCCCGGUGUUCUCCUUAAACGUCCCCGGUGUUCCGUUCUCCUUAAACGUCCCCGGUGUUCCUUAUUAUAAUUAUUAUUAUUAUUAUUAUUAUUAUUAUUAUUAUUAUUAAGACGGCGAGCUAGCAGAAUUUUUAGCGCAUUGGACGCCAUGCUUAGCGGUAUUUCGCCCGUCGCUAUGUUCUGAAUUCGAAUUCCACCGAGGUCGACUUGGCCUUUUAUCUUUUCGGUGUUGAUAAAUUAAGUACCAGUGAAACAAUUGGGUCGAUAUAUAGUCCCCACCACACAAAUUUGAGGCCUUGUGCCUCCAGUAGAAGGGCUUAUUAUUAUUAUUAUUAUUAUUAUUAUUAUUAUUAUUAUUAUUAUUAUUAUUAUUAUUAUUAUUGUUAUCAUUAUUAUUAUUAUUAUCAUUAUUAUAGUUAUCCUUAUUAUUAUUAUUAUUAUUGUUAUCAUUAUUAUUAUUUUUAUCAUUAUUAUUAUUUUUAUCAUUAUUAUUAUUGUUUAUUAUUAUUAUUAUUAUUAUUAUUAUUAUUAUUAUUAUUAUUAUUAUUAUUAUUAUUAUUACUUUUUUUUUCUUCUUUCAAAUUUUCUUCCAUUUCUUGCCGAGUGUCUUCCCGACUCCUAGGGCAAAGAAACUCAUAGUGUAUAUUGGUAGGCCAUUAAACCAAACUCAGAAGUUCGUUCAUUUUUUUUUUGUUUUUUUUUUUUGUUAGAUUAAAAUACAUGAGCAGCAACAGUUCUCACAUCGACAAUGCUCUUCUCAAUACGUGUGAUGUACCAGUUAAGACAAUCUUUUGCACUUCUUGCAGGGAUGGUAAGCCAGGGAUCAUUCUCAUAUAAUUUUCGGUUCCCUUCUUGAUCAUUCCUAGUGCUUCUACGAUCACUGGUAUUGUAACCGCCUUGAGAUGCCACAUUUUCUCAAUUUCAAUGAGUAGGUCUUUAUAUUUUCUGAGCUUGUCAAACUCUUUCGCUGAGAUAUUAUGAUCACAGGGGAUGCUCAUGUCGAUCAAUAAGCAAACUUUAUUGUUUUGGUCUUUCACAACAAUAUCUGGUUUAUUGGCCUUGAUGGUUCGGUCUGUAUGUACUGGAAAGUCCCACAGAAUGGUUACAUUUUCUCCUUCAGUUACAGCCUCAGGGUGGUGAUUAUACCACUUGUCGGCAGUUUUGAUAUUGUAAUGCCGACUUAUUAGCCAGUGGAGAUAUUGGCCAACUCUGUCAUGUCUUAAUUUAUACUCCACUGGUGCUAAGACUUUACAUCCAGAGAUUAGGUGGUCCACUGUUUCAAUCAUGUCGUUGCAGAAUCGGCAUUUUGGGUCUGCUCCAUUUUUCAUCACAUUGGCCUGGUAGUUCCGGGUUAAUAGGCUUUGGUCUUGAGCAGCCAGGAUGAAACCUUCGCUCUCUGCUUUUAGCCCUGAGCUCCGCAGCCACUGAUGGGUUUGCUUCUGGUCAACAUCAGCUUGUUUGCUGCGGGUCACAUAUUUGCCGUGCAGAGGUUUCUCCUCCCACCUAUCAGCCAAUUGCUCGUGCGCUUUUUUCAUUGCCAUCAUUUUCACCUUCUUUGCAACAAUAGUUGCCGUACUUCCCUCGGGUUGUUCAGUUUGGGUAUCCUGCACGAGAUCAAUAGCAAAUUUUUUGCUUUCCUUGAUGAUAGAAUGAAGCUUCUUUCGUCUCUCGUGAUUUUCCACGAUCUUUAGCAUCCAGUCAUUCGAUAUUUCGAGAUAUUUGGCCAGUCCAAUUGUGGUUGUUUUGUAAGCUAGUUCAAAUUGGAUCAGGCCUCGACCUCCUUGGGCUCUGGGAAGGUAAAGGUGAUCUACGUCUGCCUUUGGGUGGUGCAUCCUAUUACAACUCAGCAGCUUGCGUAUUUUUCUAUCUAUAUUCUUUACUUCACUCAUAUUCCAGUUCAACACAUUGUAGCUAUAAGUAACAACUGGAACUGCUAAGGAAUUUAUAGCUAACACCUUGUUACGUGCAUUUAGUUCAGAUUUCAGGACUGCACGAACUCUCCUAUAACAUUCCUUCCUGAUUUUCUCUUUCAUGCUUGCAUGCUGAAUACCAGAGCCUUCAUUUAUCCCUAAAUAUUUGUAUGUCUGUUCUUGCUCAAGCUCUCUUAUGACUGUGUCAACAUCUAACACGACUGAAUUUGUGGUCUUCACUUUCCCUUUCUGGAAAGUGGCCUUGGCACACUUCUCAAGUCCAAACUCCAUCCCGAUGUCAUCGCUGAAUGCUUUCACGGUACGCAAUAGGCCUUCAAGUUCAUUAUUGUCUUUACCAUAAAGUUUUAAGUCAUCCAUAUAAAAUAUAUGGCUUAUUUUUUUAUUGGCAAUUUUAUACCCAUACCCUGUUCAUUAUUAUUAUUAUUAUUGUUAUCAUUAUUAUUAUUGUUAUCAUUAUUAUUAUUAUUAUUAUUAUUAUUAUUAUUAUUGAGCUAGCAGAAUCAUUAGCUGCCGGGCUAAAUGCUAAGCAACAUUUAGCCCAUGUAUACGUGCUGGGUACAAAUUUCGCCGAGGACGACUUUGCAUAUCAUUCUUUCGGAGACAAUAAAAUAAGUACCAGUUGAGUACCAUUCGACGAAAUCGAAUUAACCUCCACCCUGGAAUUGCUGGCCUUGUGCCAUAAUUGGAAACCAUUAUUAUUAUUAUUAUUAUUAAGACGGUGAGAUUUCAGAAUCUUUAGUGCGUCAGACAAUAUUCUUAAUGGCAUUUCUUCCGGCUAUUUACAAUCACAAUUCAACGGCGUCGACUUUACCUUUCAUACUUUCGAGUUCGAUAAAUUAAAGUACCAGUCAAAUACAAGGAUCAAUCUAAACGACUAAACCCAAUCGCUUCAAAGAUAUUUUAACUACCUUUUAUAACCAACAUAUGUAUACAUUAGAAUGAAGUGUGUGAAUAUAAGACAUUAAUAUUUUCAGUAUAAAUCGAUAUGCCGGUGAAAUUUUAAACUUAUUUGCUUUAAUUUUAAACCAUAAUGAGAUGUUUUAAUAAUGUACAAAAAUGUACACUAGGAAACCUUCAGCAGUAAUUAAUUUAAAUCAUGCCAAGCCGUACGUGAAGAAUGUCAGCUAUGGAACCGCUAUUUCAUGUUCUUUAAGAAAUGAAAUCUUAUAAAAAUUCUCUCCUUCCUACUUAGGAACAUCUCGUUUAAGCAUAAUAACGUGUUUAUUAAAAAUGAACAUUAGCAAACAUAAUAUGAUCUCAUUUAUUUUUGCAGUUGCUUUGCAUUGAUGGAUUGUUUUGAUUUCUGCCACGUAUGAAAAAUAAUGAAGAAAUAAAAAUCUAAUAUUUUCUAUUGAAAAUCAACAAGAAUCAGUUUAUUGUUUUUGAAGUUUCUAUAAAUAUCUAUAAUAGAAAUGUUGAAUAUUUUACAUAAUUUCCUAUUGUUUUAAAGAUUAAUCUAGAAAAACAGACAAUUCUCAGUUAAUUUGAAAUUUGCAGAUAGAUUAGUGUGAAAAUAAGACUGAUAACAGUUUUAUUUCAUUUCUGGAUUAGCAAAGCUUCUUGUAGGAAAUAAUUAAUUUAAAUACAGUCAUUCAGUGAAAAAGGAUUAGUGAAUAUUCAAGUAGUUGAUGUAACCAGUGUGUAGAAUAGCAGCUAACUUCAAUCAAUGAAGGAAAACCGUUUAUGUAUGAUGCAGUCAGCUUCGUUCUUUUAUUACACCAGUAAGGAAAAUAAAUAUUUGAAAAGAAUUUUCUGGGUACACAUGCAUACCUACGUACAUUAUAUAUAUAUAUAUAUAUAUAUAUAUAUAUAUAUAUAUAUAUAUAUAUAUAUAUAUAUAUAUAUAUAUAUAUAUAUAUAUAUAUAUAUAUAUAUAUAUAUAUAUAUAUAUAUAUAUACGUACAUUAUAUAUUUAUGUAUAAUUUGUUUUCAGAAUGAGAUAAAAAAACAAUGCUGUGAAGAUUUUAGAACAUUUAUAAAUAGGUCUUACAGCUGUUUCAGGGAUAUUUUUAUAUCCCUUCAUGAUAGAGUAAAGAUUACAAGAGUGUACCCCCCCACCCAUUUCUUCUAUUUGGCACUCCUUCACUCUUUACCCUACCAUCUCUUUUCACACUCAUAUCUUUCACACUCAUAUCUUUCUCUCACCUCCCCAUUCAUAUCUAUUUAUCUUGACUGACUACUAACUGGUUCACUUUCCCUCUCUUCAUCUCUUUAUUAUCUCUCUCCUUGCUUUUCUUUUUUUCCCUUUUCUUUAUUCCUCUUUUCCUGUUUUCCAUUUGACCUUACAAAUACAUUCCCUACUUUUUGGUUACUUUAUAUAAAGCUUCGAUUCAAUAACACUUUGUACAAACUCUAUACUUGGAAUGACCAAUUCUAAAUACUAUUGGAAUUUGCUCACAAGGUAUUUGGAAUCCUAUCUGUAUGGAUCUACAAGUGUAAUAUUCCUGCAUAUCUCGCAUCUAUUUUCACUCCUCCACUUCAAUCUCUAUUUCAUAUCUUAUCUAAAUUAACUAUUGCUUGACCAUUUUCUCAAACCGUCUCCGAUGAAGGGAUAUAAAACAUAUCCCGGAAACAGGUGUAAGACCUUCUAUCUAUAAAUGUUCUAAAAUCUUCACGAGCCUUCGUUUUUUUAUCUCAUUCUGAAUUUUGUUUUAUAUAUACACAUGCUAAUAACAACAUACGUUGGACUCCUUAUUCGCAUAAUCACCGAGCCUGGAGCUUAACUAUGGUCUGUCCAUAGCACUUACUCAAUAUUACCUGACACCUUAUUGACACCAUUACCUCUCAUAACAUAUAUAUAUAUAUAUUUACAGUCGCACACACAUCUAAUCGGCCUUUCCUCAUUACAUGUGGAAGCACACCGUCGGUUACGACGACGAGGGUUCCGGUUGAUCCGAAUCAACGGAACAGCCUGCUCGUGAAAUUAACGUGUAAGUGGCUGAGCACUCCACAGACACGUGUACCCUUAACGUAGUUCUCGGGGAUAUUCAGCGCGACACAGAGAGUGACAAGGCCGGCCCUUUGAAAUACAGGUACAACAGAAGCAGGAAGUAAGAGUGAGAGAAAGUUGUGGUGAAAGAGUACAGCAGGGAUCACCACCAUCCCCUGCCGGAGCCUCGUGGAGCUUUAGGUGUUUUCGCUCAAUAAACACUCACAACGCCCGGUCUGGGAAUCGAAACCGCGAUCCUAUGACCGCGAGUCCGCUGCCCUAACCACUGGGCCAUUGCGCAUCCACCCACAUUACAUAAGGCAUGUAUCGAAUGUCACAAUGUACGACAGUUCUGAUAGACCAUUCUGACACCCUAUGUUUUUUAGCAAUUGAUCUCAUUGAUCUUCUAGGAGAUUUUAUUGACAAAGUUUUGAACAUUUAUAAAUUCCGGUGUCCUUUUAGUGUCUGGACGUUGUGAAUGAGUUUUCUCUUUGAUACAGAUGAAACAUUACCAUCGCAUGCCUCCAGUUCCAAUCGAACUUUGUUUACAAAUGAUCUUACAACAUUUAGAAAGUUGCUAAUUUCUAAAUCACUGUGGUUUGCAUGUAUAGCAAUUAUGACUGCAUGUCUUUCUAUUUCUUGAGUUAGCAUGAUAUCUUGAAAGGGUUAUCUGAAAACAAAAAUGAUACAUUAAAUAAUUUAAAGGUGUAAUGAACUAAAAACGAAGUGUCCUCAAAUACCCUCGCAUCUUGUAUAUAUAGUGCUAAUAUAAAAAUGCAAUAAACAUUGGAAUAUCUUCCGUCCAAUCUCAGAGUUACUAACAAUAUAUUUAAUUGUCGAAAAUUAUGGCAAACUACAGAUAAAUUCAUGCACAAUUGCCUGGGUGUAUUAUAUGAAGGUCACCGCACUUGGCAGAUAUUCCAAGAUUAAACGUAAAAUUAAAUCUAUAUUUUAACUAUUCUCAAGAUACGAUGCAUAGAACGCAAAUAAUCUAGGAAGAGUUUGGUAUUCAGGAGGCAUAGUAUUGUAGGCAUAGCAGUGAGAUUCUGUUCAAUAAAAUAUAAUCUACUUGUUAAAUAAUUCUCUUCCUAUUGCUAUUUUUACUACCCAAAAGAGAGAAGUAUUUAUGAGAUGGAUAAUGGCAAUGGAAUUAGUACAUUCUAAUUAUAUUAUCUCGACUCAAUGACAUCUAAGCUCUAAAGAGCAAAAUACAAGACUAAAUAUUAUGAGAUAUACUGUAGUUGUCUGAUAUAUAAAUAUUACGUAAAUUGUGUGCUUUAAGGUUAAUAGUAACUUUUGAAAUGUGAGUUCCCAUAAUGGAAGUUAAACUAUCGACCAAUGAAUAUCUAUAACAAUUAUAUUAAAGCGGUUUAUAGCUUAGCCUUUUAUACGAUUAUCAUUAUGACUAGCAUUCCAAAUCAAUGUAUUGCGACGUAGCAGCUAGGGAUUAUUUUAGCGAUUGAACCAUCUUAGAAAGAAAUGUCAGAUGAGAGCGUACCUGCAAUAAAAUGGUAAGGGAUAUUGUCAUCUGAUCGGAUAUUCCUCAAGCACAUCAAAAUACGAACGUCUUGAAAUAAUUCUAUUAUCCGAAAUAUUCAGCCAAAAAUUAUCGGAGCUAGAGAGACACACCAUUGUACUACAAUACGGAAGAAUAAGUUGGUAGACUUAAUUUUUGAGUUACACAGCGAUUUAAAAUCACUAUAUACUAAACAGCGAGAUACAGAGAGACUGAUUGAUGUUCAUUUACAAAUAGAAAGGUAGAUUGAGUAAUAAGGAAAAUACAAACUUCCACAAACGGCCCCACCACACACGCACACGUGCACAUGCGCAUGCAUAUAUAUAAUAUGCAGGAAGCGAACAGAUGGAGGACACUGCGGCAAACAUAUUCUUAAAGUCUAACUAAACUAUAAUUGUAGACAGUUAUAAGAUUACAAAAUUUCCAUUCCUAUGUUUCAUUCAUGUACACUGAUGAUUAAAUAUGUGUGCGUGUAUAUAUAUAUACAUGUAUAUAUAUACAUGAAUGUGUGUGUAUUUAUAUGUGUUUAUAUGUGCGUGUGUGACUGUUUAUGUGCAUGUAUGUAAAUGUAUGAUAUACUCACACACAUAUGUAUAGUGAGAGAGAGAAAGAAAUUGACUGAUAGGUUGAAGUUUAUAUGAUAUACAGUGGCGCCUGAAGAGGUUUACAUACCCCGCCAGUAUUCUGCAAUGUUUGGGCAACUGAUAUCACAUGUCACUCUAAAUGCCAAACUCUUAUUAAUGACAAUUUGAUAUUUUAAUACUUGAAGAUUAAUUCCUUCAUUACUUUUAUGAAUAAAUAUAUAUUAUUUACAUGUAAACAUAGAAACUCUUACUGUAAAAGACUGUUCUGCGUUAAAUUUAAAAUUAAUGGGAGUAUUUAAUCAAAAAGUAGAUAUUCGCGAUUCUCUUUCUAUUUAGAUUCUUUUCAUGCCUAUAUAACGUACUCACGUGUUACAGAAUAAUUAGAGUCAAUGUGAGGUCUCCUAUGUACUUUCUCAAGCUGCUAGAGUUGUGUAGUAGGCUUAAACUAUAAUAUCAACACUUGUCUCUUCGGUGCUUUUAGCACUGCCCAUCUCGGUGAAAGAAUUUCUCUACAGAUCUCCGCUGUGAGGAUAACUUUCUCUCUACUUGCUUCUUGUAUCGUAAACCAUGUUAAAUAUCAUGUCUGCCACUCUUCCUUCCCAGAGCAAAUCUUAUAAUAGGAAACAAACAUAAUUUUCCUCCAUAUUUUACGCCCUACCAUCAUAAGUGAGGAAUGACGGCCUCUACCGGUCAGUUUUGAUCAUGUAUUUUCACAUACAUGAUCAAGUUUGACCAUGUAUGUCCUCUUCUUACUACUGAAGACUCAUAUUUUCUCGUGCAUAUAAAUCACCCUAUUCCACGUCACCGAUAUUUUCAAGUGCUGCUGUUUUAUGGCUGACAUUGCAUAAUUCUACAGUAUCAUUGUUAGUAUUGCUGUAAAAACGCCCAGGGUUGGAACAUAUACCUCAACGCAUCUCGCGUCAUGCUUUAACAAUGCUGCCAAUCCGCAGCCUUGGUUUGUGACUAUUGCAAAAUUUGAACACUGUGAUUAGAGGUAGAACAAGUACAGGAGUCUUAUCAAUCCGGCAUUCUAUAUCUUUACACGAGGAAAGAAUGCAUUAAAUAAAGCAGUCGUAGAUAUCUCUGAAAAGUCGAGGAGGUAACUGAUAAAAUGCCUCUAAUAAAUCAUAAGUCUGCUUGAUUUGGAAUGUCCGAGAACAUAACAAUAACAACAACAAUAUUUAAAGUAUUAGGAGUGCGUUGUGAAAUGUAUAGUUAAGCUAUGUUGUUCCUUAGUAAACUAUCUGAAAAUUCUAAAUCACAUAAUUUACUUACGACUGAGUUGAGCAUCAUGAAUAGAAUCCUUUUCGUGAAUGGAAUAUUUGAUUAUUCAAUUGUACUUAGAAAAUUGCACUCUAAUACGCUCUAAUGUACGCACGCAUGUAUGUAUAUAUGAAUGUAUGCAUGUAUGCAUCGAUGUAUCUAUGUAUGUAUGUGUGUGUAUGUAUGUAUGUAUGUAUCUAUGUAUGUAUGUAUGUAUGUAUGUAUGUAUGUAUGUUUGUAUGUAUGUAUGUAUGUGUGUGUGUAUCUAUGUAUGUAUGUAUGUAUGUCUUUAUGUAUGAAUGUAUGUGUGCAUGUACUGCAUGUAUGUAAGUAUGUAUACAUGAACAUAUAUUUGAAUGAAUGAUUGAAUACUCCUGUGUUUGUGUUGUGUGUGUGUGUGAGUGUGUGUAUACGUGUGUGUUUAUAUGUACGUCUGUCUGUAUGUGUGUAUACACAUACUAGCAAAAAUGCAGCUUUCCUGUUAGAAAUGUUGUCCGUUUAAUGUAAGCUCAUCAAAGUGAAAGCCUAUAUAUAUAUAUAAAAAAAAAACAAAAACACCAAGGCAACCUCACAUAAUUCUUUAUUUGCAUAAGUAAGAUUUAUGCGAAAAUUUAUCGAGUCCAAAUCUCACUCGAUAUUUUGUUACUUAAGUACAACUGAUAUUUAGUGAAUUGUUCUGUCUAAGAUUUCACCUUAUUAAGUUGAAUCAGAACUUCAGUGGAUCGUUUCUCCCAUUUUCGCUGGUAUCCACAGGCAUUUGUGUUCAAUUUAUCUUUUCUUACUCUGAUCUUGUUUUAUCAGCUUUCCAUAUCAAUAUUGAUAUGUACAACUACAAAAUAGACAUAAAUGUUUUGCCGUUCGCAAAUUAUAAUUUGACUUUUUUUAUAUAUAAGUAAAGCAAAAAGCCAUUGAAUGUAAGGGAUUCUGAAGGAGAUAUUAAGACGAAAUGAAUAAAUCUGCUUGAAAGAAAUUACGCCAUAAAAAAGAGAAAGUCGAUGAAAUGGAAGAGAGUUCCGGAGUCUGGCAGUUCAAGGAAAACUAGCUACGACAAUAGAAAGACUUCCUUAUUCGUAGACGCACAGCAGAGCUGGAUGAAAACGUAGUGAGUUCCGAGUCAGAUGAGAUGGAACAAAAUAAUCUGGAGCUAAGAAAGAAAGUUCAUCAUUGCGCUUCUUAUGACAAUAACGAUAGAAAAGAUAAAGACUGGCGGCGUCGCGUUGAUAUGACAAGGGUUUCAGGGUUGAAAACUGUUUUAAAUAAAUUCGGUUGGUACAUGAUAUAAAAGAACUUAUUUUCUUGAAAUAUGGACUUCAGGAUUCCGAUUCUCACUUCAGGUUCCAUAGAUUGCAUCUGGAGGGAUAUGAUUUUAUUAAUUACAAAACUGCUACUUACAAGAUUCUUAUCCUAAACCAACAAAAAGAGUGGUUUAGUGCCAAACCACAUGUAAAAGUUUAAAAAGCGCUGAAUUGUCAGUUAUUCUCGCUGCUUGUCGUCCAAUCUCUGAAUAGGUUUAAUAUAAUUAUCAACAAUAUCCAGCUUGUUUCUUCUCUAUACGUCUACUUACUUCGCAUUUUGUUUAUCGCAGGAACUAAAGGUCUUACAGGACGGAUCAUAUUAGCGCACCAUCUUAGUGGAUCACAGUCACAAAGAAACCAUUCUGUGGUUAGUCUGAUUCGAAAUAUACCCUAUUAGGAGCAUUAGAUCUCUGACCGGAUAAAUUUAUAACCAGAUAAAGUAUGUAUGUACGUAUGUCAUUAUUCAGUUUAUUUGAACAUUUCUUGUCAAUAGAGAAAGAACCCCUUUCUAACCUAAAUCCAAGGCUCUUUCAUUGUAAUUUGAACAUCAACAACAGGGUAUUUUGUAUGUAAGUAUGUAUGUAUGUUUUAUAUAUGUAUUCUCAUGCAUAUAGAGAGAGUAACUGUAUGUAUGCAUGUAUGCAUGUAUGUAUGUAUGUAUGUAUGUAUGUAUGUAUGUAUGUAUGUAUGUAUGUAUGUAUGUAUGCAUGCAUGCAUGUAUGUGAAGGCGCGUGGAUUAAUGUUUAGUAUAUGCGCUUAACGAUCUUAAGGACGUUAGCUAGAUUCCAGGCGACAUAUUGUUUUAUUUCAUAUUGCCCCAAUCCACGUACACGCAAUUCAAAAAGGGCCAACUUUGUAACAUUCGCUGUGUCACGCUGAUUCUACAUGAGAACUAGGUUAAGGGUGCGCCUAUUUGUGGAGUGCUCAGUCACUUGCACGUUAAUUACACGAGCAUACAGUUCCAGUGAUCGAAUCAUCUGGAACAACCGCCGUCGUAACCGAUAGAUUACCCAGCCAUGUAUAUAUAUAUAUAUAUGUGUGUGUGUGUGUGUGUGUGUAUAAUAUAUAAUAUAUACAUAUAUUUAUAUAUUUAUAUAUAAAUAUGUACACAUACACACACACACACACACACAGACACAUACACACACACACACAUACACACACACAUAUAUAUAUAUAUAUGUAUGUAUGUAUAUUCAAGUACGCAGGUGUGUAUGGGUGUCUGUGAAAAACAAGUGUAUACCAUACAUAUUCUAUACAAAAGAUGUUAUACAAUCAUAAUCAAAAUAUAAUUAGCGAAGAAAAAAAUAUAUUCCAAGAUUGUUCUUUUGUGCUUCGCUAAUUAUAUUUUCGGUUAAUGUUAAUGACUUCAUUGCUAUAAUGUCAUAGGUACGUGUUUAUUCUUUUGUAUUUUUAUUAUACCUUCGCGCUACGCAAUUAUUAUUAGCCAGCUCUUGUUCUGCGCAAUUAUUUUUAACUCUGAUUAGGAACUUAGAUAUUAACAGUUUUCGAUCUACCAAGCACUGAUCCGGUGUUCAUCUUGAUUCGCUUGUACUAGGACUUCUCACCUAUUGUAGACAUAUAUAUAUAUAUAUAUAUAUAUAUAGGGAUGGUGGAUGGUGUGGGUGAGGUUGCGGACAGAAAUUUACAUUUAUUAGUAUAGCUUUUAUGCAUGCAUACAUGCAUGCAAGUAUGUAUGCAUGCAUGUAUGUAUGUAUGUAUAUAUGUAUGUAUGUAUGUAUGUAUGCAUGUAUGAAAGGUUUUAGUUGAACAAAUCGCCCCUUCCUCCCCCACCGAAUCCUAGUACUCUUUCUAUUGGCACUUUUGCCGAACCGCUAUGUUAAUCGGACGUAAACACACAAACAGCGGUUGUCAGACGGUGGAGAGGACAAACACAGACACCAAAAACACCAACAUAUAGAUAUAUACACACAUACACAUGCACACACGUACACAUACACACACACAUACUUACAUACUUUAUAUCUAUCUGUAUAUAUAUAUAUAUAUAUAUAUAAAGCAAAUAAAUAACAAUGAUGUCCAGGUAUCAGUGCAUUACGGCCGUCUCAAGCGGCUCCAUUUAAUCGAUCAAUGAAAACAUUUAUAUCAAUUUGAAAUAAACCGCUCUCCUCAGAGCACCAAUCAUAUAGAUUUCCAACAUAAUGAAUAAACCAUUUUUUAGCGCAACUUACGUCUGUACUAGCAACCAAAAUAAUUACAUUAUUAUUCCUUGCUAUUUCAUUGGCAGAAUGAAUUUAGUAAAUACUGCAUACCUACAGCCUAUGAUUCAGAAUAGCAUAGUGGAAUAGUGAAAGUCAAGAAUGAGCGAAAGAGAGAUAGUUAAAUUUACAGUCUCCAUUAUUACAUUACUAAGAUUAUUUGCAGCAUAUUGUCUCCAGCUCUUAAGAAUUAAAUCCUUUGGGAGUUGACAGUUAGGCUCCUGCUAGCGGUGAUAAAUUAAUCAAAUGUCAGAUUGCUAGUAAGAGAAUGACAAGGAAAGGGAGGCGAUAACUAGAGUGAGAAAGGAAGGGGUGGUUUAAUCUAUUUGAUUAUCAAAUAAAAGGGGCAUAAGGCGCAGGAGUGGCUGUGUGGUAAGUAGCUUGCUUACCAACCACAUGGUUCUGGGUUCAGUCCCACUGCGUGACACCUUGGACAAGUGCCUUCUACUAUAGCCUCCGGUUGGCCAGAGCCUUCUGAGUGGAUUUAGUAGAUAGAAACUCAAAGAAGCCCGUUAUAUAUAUAUAUAUAUAUAUGUAUACGUUUGUGUGUCAGUGUUUUUUCCCCCAACAUUGCUUGACAACUGAUGCUGGUGUGUUUACGUCCCCGUCACUUAGCGGUUCGGCAAGAAAGACCAAUAGAAUAAGUACUAGGCUUACAAAGAAUAAGGUUGAAAACAAAAAGAGGUCAAAAGCCUUAAGGGUAGUUGUUAAAACUGAGGGUAACGAAACAUAUCUUAACUACGAAAUUAAGUCAAAAUUAAAAUUAAGUGAAAAAUUUAGAAGGUAUUUUAGAAGCAUAUAGAGGAAAAGGGAUAAAUGAAUAAACUUAUAUCCUAAAAAUGGGGCACUUUAAUAUAUAAGAGAAAGUUAAUAAGGCUUCUCCUAAGUAUAAUACUAAGGUGGUCAUGUUAAAACCAUUCAAAAAUGAAUUUAUAAUUGAAUUAAAUGUCAUAUAAGUAGGAGUACAUAGUUUAUUUUAAACCACGACCAGAAUUUAGAGUUCAAACGAUGAAUGAAAUAAUCCCAUAUUGGGUAAAGUUAUUAAAAAACACUUGAAGGUAUAACAUAUCACUUAUAUCUUUAUCUUUCUUCUUUUACCUUUUACUUGUUUCAGUCAUUUGACUGCGGCCAUGCUGGAUCACUGCCUUUAGUCGAGCAAAUCGACCCCGGGACUUAUUCUUUGUAAGCCCAGUACUUAUUUUAUCGGUCUCUUUUGCCGAACCGCUAUGUGACGGGGACGUAAACACACUAGCAUCGGUUGUCAAGCAAUGCUAGGGGAACAAACACACACACACACACACACACACACACAUAUAUAUAUACAUAUAUACGACAGGCUUCUUUCAGUUUCCGUCUACCAAAUCCACUCACAAGACACUUGCCGAAGAUGCCACGCAGUGGGACUGAACCCGGAACCAUGUGGUUGGUAAACAAGCUACUUACCACACAGCCACUCCUGCGCCUAUAUAUAUAAAUUUUAUAAAAUUUAUGAAAUAUAUCGUAUGAUUAUAAUAUAAAUAUAAAUACCAUAUUUUAUUACAUUAUACAAUGAGUUAAACAUAGAGAAAUUCCAAACCCUUACACAAUCAGUAGAAAUUGCACCAAUAUAAAGGAAGGUUUAUAAACUUAUAAAAAAUAAAAUAAGGGGUAAAAAAAGUAUAAGUAUGAAUAAAUAAAAGACAAAAUUUUUUUAUAUAAACUCCUCUUAUAAAGAAUGUGUAAAUUAUAGGAGAAUUUGUAAAGGAAAAAGAAAAGGAAAACAAGACCAAGGCAGGACGAGUACUUCAUGUCAUUAAAAAUAUUUAAUUACAGUAAGGUGAAUCAUAAAAGGAAAAGUUGAAGUAAUUAGAAUGCAGUCAGUAAUUAUAUCUACUUCUCUCUUUUUUUUAUUCACCUUACUCUAAUUAAGUAUUCUACAUGACAUGGGAUACUCGACCUGCCUUAGAUUUGUUUUCUUUUUCCUUUAAUAGAUACCCCCUGGCUCGAAAGCCUACUACGCAUCCCUAGCUCCAGCCUCAGCUGUGAGCUUGGAACCUAACGGAUGACCAAUUAUAGCAGUUACGCAGCGUACCUAUUGGUUUAGAUCAUCAAUGAUCUAAACCCCUCAUAUUCUUUACACACACACGCGCGCGCACACACACACACAAACUCACAUGUAUAUAUAUAUAUAUAUAUAUAUAUAUAUAUAUAUAUAUAUAUAUAUACAUAUAUAUAUAUAUAUAUAUAUAUAUAUAUAUAUAUAUAUAUAUACAUAUAUAUGCUCUUUUACUUGUUUCAGUCAUUUGACUGCAGCUAUGCUGCAGCACCGCCUUCUGUCGAACAAAUCGACCGCAGGACUUAUUCUUUGCAAGCCUAGUACAUAUUCUAUCGGUCUCUUUUGCCGAACCGCUAAAUUACGGGGAUGUAAACACACCAGCAUCGGUUGUCAAGCGAUCUUGGGGGGGAGAAAUACGGACACACAAGUAUGCACUCACAUUCACAUACACAAACACACAUAUAUAUAUAUACACACACACACACAGACAUAUAUAUAUAUAUAUAUAUAUAUAUAUAUACACAUAUAUACGACGUGCUUCUUUCAGUUUCCGUCAAAUCCACUCCGAAUGCCUGGGUUGGCCCGAGGCAAUAGUAGAAGACACUUGCCCAAGGUGCCACGCAGUGGGAAUGAACCCAGAACCAUGUAGUUGGUAAGCAAGCUACUUACCACAAAGCCACUCAUAGUACCGCUCAGUAUUUUUCCCACUUCGCCGCCUUAAGAAAACAGAAUAACGUACUGAAUAAGGAAGACCGGGAUAUAUUCCACCAAUACGCCGCACUGGAUUGCUUUUAUUUUACAUUGAUCUCGACGGAUGGAAGGAGAAUUUGAUCUUAGCGAGUUAGAGCGCAGCGAGUCGGAAUAUACGGCGUGAUGUAUUAGAAAGCUCAAACAUCUGUGGAAAUUCACUCUUCUACAUUCUAAAACAUAAUCUUUCCAGGAAUGGCUUAGACAUGCAUUACUUCGAGCUCGAUGAAGAAGCAAGCACUCAUCUAUUCGAUUAAUUUAACUAUUUGCGAUUACAAUAGUAAUUUUUAAAGCUUACUAUCUCAGAGUUACAAAUCUUUGUUUAGCACGCGAUUAGCAAGUGAUUAUUGAAUUAUUAAUAAAUAUAAACGGAAUUAGCAGAAAGUGUCAUGGUUAGUAUUUAUUGUUAAUUAGGGCUUUCUAAAUUUAAUUGUGCGCUAAUUUAUUUGGUGUAUGAUAUAUAUUUUGCUCUACUCAAAAUAUUAUUCAAGGUAAAAGCUAGUUCAAUUAGUUUCAUUUCUAAAUAGAAAUUUUAUUAUUGCAUAUAUUGAGGAUAUUAAUUGCUAUAAAAUGACUUCAUAAAACUCAGACUUAAAAGUCUAAGUAAUUUAAAGGAAAACCAUAGCUUAGCGAUAUCAUAAAUUUAAUAAGUCCUUCCAUUUCUGUAUUUUUUUUUAUUAAUUUCUUCAUCUUAAAUUUGACACUUCAACUUCAUAGGACUAAUUACUUAUCAAAUAUAUUCAAUAUUUUGAAUUAUUUAGGUUAUCCAAAGUUUAUUAUUUUUUGAUGACCUUCAGACAUUUCAACUUUUGUACACAACAGAAUCAUUUCUUUGUUUACAUUUUAACUAACAAUUUAUUGAAUAUUUUUCGAUCUUUCCGGUUUUACCAUAAAAUUAAUUAUACUUGUGUACAAAAGUUGAGUUUAUAGAUGUAAUAAAUAGUUUUGUGGAUGAUAUAAAGUAGCUAUUAUAAUAGUAUAGUAUUAAGCCGGGAAAUAUAAAUUUUGUUGUGAAAUUCUGUAUAGAAAGAAUCUUAGAAAGCAAAAUAUAACAGAACAUUGAUUUAUGAUUUCUGCAAAAUUCCAAUGUAGAAAAUAGAAAUGUACAAUUUUUCUGUUUACAUUACAAAACAUUCUUCACAGAAAGUUAUUAGAAUCCUAAUUCUUGUUUACACCUAGUAUAUAUAUAUAUAUAUAUAAAUAUAUAUAUAUAUAUAUAUAUAUAUAUAUAUAUAUAUAUAUAUUGUGAAAUGGAAAGUUUUGCUGCUUAAAGUUUAAAAUAUUGUUAAUUCUGGCGUAAAACCCAUGAGAAAACUCUAUAAUACAUAUAAUAAUUUUUUUCUUACCCUGUGAAAUUAUGAAGAUAAAGUACGCCGAUUAUAACAGUCUAAAAUUUGCCAUUUACUAAAAAGUAUUGCUAAAAAUCUAAAGGAAAAAUGCAAUGAAUCAAAAACUUUUAAUGCCUAAUGAUAAAAAUAAGCAAACUAGAAACUAACAAUAAAAUCUAAAAACUAUAAUUUAACGUUGAGUUUGUAAAUUCUUACCAAUAAUCGGUGAGGUAUGAAGACCCAUGAAAAUUAUCGCAUAACACAAUCUAAAUCUAAUACGUUUGGGAAGAAUUUAAGCAAACAUAUUUUGCUUCAUGCACUUUUUAGAUACUGGUUUAUUAGAUGUUGAAUUAUUAACAGGGCAUAUAUUUACCAAUGCGUAUGAGGGGAACUGCAUAUCAGUAAUGAAAAAUAUACACAGACGUGCUGCUUUUAUUAUGAGUUUUCUUGGGAAAAAAUCGAAGAAAAUAUCAAUAAUUCUUUAUUAUAAAACAACAAAAUUUAAUUUCGCUAGUAUUUCUUAUGAAAAACUCUAAACUUAUGAAGCAUACUAACAUUGAACUCAUGUUUAAAGAGUUGCAGUCUUUCGAUAUUUAUAACAAGCGAAGUGGCGAUUUUUCUCAUGAAACAAUUAUUUUAGACACGUCAACUAAACUAAUAAGAACGGAGAAUAUUUAUGUGUUAAGAUUUUAUUAAAUGUUGGUGAAGCUAUUAAAACUGAGAGUUGUCAAUGCGAUCAAUAAUUGUUAUUCGAGAAAUUAACCAAUCAAAAUAAAGUGUUUUCAUUAAGCAUUUAUCUGUUUAAAUAUUCAGAACAUUAGAUUAGUACUCUGUUUGAAUUGAGAUCUACUUACAAUGUUUUUUCUGUCAAUUGUAAAUAAUGCAAAGUAAUUUGAUCAUAAAGAUAGCAACAUUCCUAGUGCAAAUCGUUUUUUAAUGGUAACAAACUUCAUUGUUUUGUGAGUAAUAUAUUUUUUCAUUAAUCGCAAGUUUAUAGCAACACACGCUUGCAAGUUUGGUUCUGUCUUCUUAUAUAGCUACAAGGAGCCAUAAUUCAAAUAGGGGAGAAAUUAAUUCCCCUUACAAUCAUAUCUUUCUGAAUAAAAACAGAAGCGUAUACAAAUGGUUAGAAUUAGAAAUUAAAACUAGAUCACAGACUCAAAUCGCAAGAACAUAUCUCAGAAGGUUAUCAUUUGCCGUUGGGAAUACUGUAUUUGAAAAGAAGCGCUAUCCUCUUUAUUAUCAAAUAUAAUGUAGGAUAUUUAAACUUCAAUUCUUUUCUGAAGUAUCAACGUCUAGAUAGUCCACUUCUGGAUAUAUUGAAAUAGUUGUCUUUAUUGAGAGUGGGUACAGCAAGACCGAAUGAUUAAAGACUUUACUUCGCAAUCUUGAGGUCCUAGAUUCAAUUCCCCAGGUGGUAUCUUGGACAAACGCCAUUUAACAUAGGAUGGGGUCGAUCUAAGCAUUGCGAAUAAAAUGUAGUAGGCGGAAACAUUGGAAGCAUCGCAGGAUGAAUUGUGCCAAUAAUUCAAAGAGUCAUCUUUGUGAUACUCUGUUAAACGUUGAUCCCAUUCGAGGAUUAUGUUAAGGAAACACGUAUUUGUGGAAAACUCAGCCACAUACUAAAUUCAAUGAGCAGAUAUUUUAAUCAAGAGAACAACUGAAUACUCGUCGUCGAAAUCGCCGAAGAGCCAUUUUCCUUCCUUUCCUGGGGGCAUUAGUAGCGUAAAGUGAAUUGACUUCAGCCUAGAGAAAAUAGAAAAGAUAAAAUAUAGCUUCAACAUAAUAGCAUAUUAUUUAAUCAAUUUAAAAUACUUUCUGCAAUAUUACUUCUUCCUUAACUUUUACUAACGUACGUCAUCAUCAUCAUUCUUCUUCUUCUUCUUCUUCUUCUUCUUCUUCUUCUUCUUCUUCUUAUUAUUAUUAUUAUUAUUAUUAUUAUUAUUAUUAUUAUUAUUAUUAUUAUUAUUAUUAUUAUUAUUAUUACUAUUUUCUUUUAAUUGAGGAAAAAAUAUGGUUGAGUUUUUUUUAUGACAGGCUUAAUCAUUUUGUUUCGCGAAAAUAACCUUCUUGGCUGAUUUUAAAAUUAACAUUUUAACAUCUUGUCAUUGUUAACUAACGCAAAUACUUUUUCGGGUUAACAGUAACAAAAAUAAAGAAUAUGUUACAUUUACAUUUUAGAUGAGUUUCAUGUUUUUGUCAUUUUAUGGCAAUAUUUUUUUCUUCGCGUAUGAGAUGACUUAAUAAAUUUACAAGUAGCUUUUGGAUGAUUGUGUAACUGAAUUCUUUCUCGCCAUUUGCAAACAAAGUGUUGGUAGCUUCAAACAUUAAAAUUUAGACAAUGCUGCUGUUAAUAAUAAUAUCUCGAAUAUAGUAUGAAAUUUGAUAUUCUCGAAAUAAACCAAACAUCAGUUUUCAAAUACCUUAUUCUAUCGAUACGGGUUUUCAUUUCAUGAGCGCUUAGCUUCAUGUUUUAUUUCAAAUUGUACUUUAUAAUGUAUUAGUGACUACUUUAUAAACGAAAAUAAUAUGAGAAAAUAUCCACUAGAGAUUUUUUUUUCUUUACUGUAAUCAAAGCCAUCACUAAAAUACCACUUUAAGAGUUUUCAAAGUCUUGAAAUAGUAACCAAGAUAACUUUUAACUUUUGUCUUAAGAAAGGCCAUUGAUUUUCGUGCUAUUUAUGUUUAUUUUUACAAUUCCCAUAAAAUACGCUAGCUAUUUUUGGUGGGUUAUUUUCUUAAACGUAUUUUGCCGUCAUGUCUAGACACGGUUGUUUAAAAGACUUCCUGAAACCAUGAAAAUUAGAACAGAAAACAUUUCUCCGAUUUCCUCAGAAUCAUCAUUUAUACAUGAUUACUUUUCCCAUUUCUUUCUCAUACGUGAUAGUUCUGAAACAACAAAUGGAAUCAAUACAUUGUACCAUUUUGAUAAUUAAUGCAAUUCAAGUAUACUCGGUCAUAAUCUAAUUGGACAGUUACUGCCGCCAUCCUUUUAUGUAAUUCUGUACAUUUUUAUAAUACAAUCAACUUUUAUAAUAUUUAUUGAAAUAUGGUAACUUAUUCAACUUAUUUCAUAAUCUGACUAAAACUUCCAUGAAACGAAAAUACAUAUUUGUGGAAUAAGUGACACAAGAUCACAAAUUUAUGAAAGUCAAAUGAGUAAAUUGUCUCCAAUACUUGAAUGAUAUUGAAUUUUUCAAUGCUACGAUGAUGGGAGUUCAAGCCAUCUUCGACGAAUUUGAACUGAAACGAUAAUGCAAAAUUAAUGACAGAAAGUAUAUCUUGUAGUCUUCUAAUUUUAAGGGAGGAAAUAAAUUCACACCAUGCAAAUAAUAAAAUGCAAAAUGACGCAAACUAGACUUAUGUACACACACAAAUACACGGAGCUAUAUAUACUUACAUAUCACUACAUAUUCAAUAUAUAUAUAUAUAUAUAUAUAUAUAUAUAUAUAUAUAUAUAUAUAUAUAUAUAUGCAUAUAAUGAUAAUAAUGAUGAUAAUAAUAAUAAUAAUAAUAAUAAUAAUAAUAAUAAUAAUAAUAAUAACAAUAAUAAUAAUAAUAAUAAUAAUAAUAAUAAUAAUAAUAAUAAUCAUAAUAAUCAUAAUAAUAAUAAUAAUAAUAAUAAUAAUAGGAGUGGCUGUGUGGUAAGUAGCUUGCUUACGAACCACGUGGUUCCGGGUUCAGUCUCACUGCGUGGCACCUUGGGCAAGUGUCUUCUACUAUAGCCUCGGAACGACCAAAAGCCCGUCAUAUAUAUGUAUAUAUCUAUAUAUGUAUGUGCGUGUUUGUGUCUGUGUUUGUCCCUCCAACAUCGCUUGAAACCGAUGGUGGUGUGUUUACGUCACCGUAACUUAGCGGUUCGGCAAAAGAGAAACUGAUAGAUUAAGUACUAGGCUUACAAAGAAUAAGUCCUGGGGUCGAUUUGUUCGACUAAAGGCGGUGCUCCAGCAUCGCCGCAGUCAUAUGACUGAAACAAAUAAAAGAGUAAAGAGUAACAACAACAACAACAACAACAACAACAAUAAUAAUAAUAAUAAUAAUAAUAAUAAUAAUAAUAAUAAUGAUAAUAAUAAUAAUAACACCGGGGGACGUUUAAGAUGUAAGAAGGAAAAUUCAGAGCUCCGAAAUCUAUCCACAAACAUCGAAAACAAGGACAUCCUAUGGAGCCAAAGUUUUACUAACAAAGAAUUGGACUGUAUCCGAGUAAGUAAUACUAAUUGAAAUUUAUUACUAUUUUCGAAACGAAAUGAUGUAUUUUGACUCGAUAUCAUCUCCACCUCUAACGCAACACAUGUAAACAUGCGUGGAACAUCACGAUCAUCCCCGACCCCAAACACCAUGUACAAAGGAACUACGAAGAAAUUAAAUGCCACCGAUACUAUUCAACCCAAGAAUAACAAUCGAGCGGUACGUACAUUAAACUUACAACAAAAAAUGUACGAAACACUACACGUGCGAAAUAAUGUGACAACAGAAAUAAACGGACCGGUACCCUACGAAAAUGACGACCGUCAAAAUAAUGGGCCAGACGUUGUACCUCAUGUCCCGCAAAUAAAACCCAAAAGACGUAAAUGGACACGUGAGGAAUACAUUUCUAUCUUACACGCAUACUACACAGCAGUACUCUACCCAAAAAAUGAAAAUACAACAACACAUACAUAUAAAAUAUGGAAGGAAAAUAAUAGAGAUAUAGACUUGGAUACAGCAAUGAACCCUAAUAAAUUAGCUAACGUACGAAGAUACAUUCUCAACACAAAAAAAUAUCAGAAAUAGAAAUAGAACACCUAAAAGAAAACAUACACCAGGAAAAUGUAGAUAGAAGCCACACAACAAUGCCCAAUAAUAUAAACACUGAAACUGUAAAACACGAAGACAAACGCAACAUUCCCAACAAACACGAUGUAAACAACGAAGGGGAGCCUAAUGAUUAUGAUAAUAUAAAAAAUAAAAUAAUCAAAGAACUGAAAACCACAGAGCUCAAAAUGGACCACCGACCAUACCUCCCAAGAAUCAAAAUAAACGAAAUAACAACACCUAUUAUAAACAGCAUAAACCUAGCCGUCACUGAACUGAUAGCCACUGAAUAAAAAAAAAGUGAUAUCACUGAGCUAAAUAACUUAAUAUACGCAGCAGCCACUGCAGCCACAAAAGAAGCUGGAUACUCACCCAAACCCGCCCAAACAGGAGUACCACCACCCAAACAAACCAUGUGGAUAAAUAACAUCCAAAGCAAAAUAAAAAAAAUUAGAAAAGACCUGUCGAUUCUUAAUGAAAUCAGCAAACAAUCAACGCUACUGAGCAAAAAAAGAGAACAAAAAUACUCCGCAAAUAUAACAUCACAGAGAAAGAUUUGCCUGAAAUAAAAGAAAAGCUGAAGCAAGAUAUCCUUGCCAAAGCACAAAGGAUCCGCCGGUACAAGAAACGCCAACGCUUCUUUGAAGAAAACAAAAAGUUCAACUCCAACCCCAAAAAGUUCUACCAAGAACUGGGCAAAAAUAAAAUAGAUGUCACUGCAGCACCAACGGCAGAAGAAUUGGAAGAAUUCUGGAGAGAAAUAUGGUCGGCGAACGAACCACCAAAAAAAGGAGUAUCAAAAUAACAAACUCGGCAUCUGAACAACUUUGGACCCCCAUAACAACUGAAGAGGUCACCCAGGCACUGCAAAAACUAAGCAACUGGAAGGCACCUGGGCAUGACAAGAUCCCCAACUUCUGGUUGAAAUAUCUAACAGGAAUGCACAAAAAGCUGGCUGAAAACUUUAACAACGUACUAGCAGAGCCAGAGACAAUGCCUGAAUGGCUCAGGAAGGGGAAAACCAUCUUAAUUCCCAAAUCAAAUAAAACAGAAAAACCAGAAAACUACAGACCAAUAACCUGCCUCCCUACUAUGUUCAAGACAUUUACUGUAGUGAUAUCACAAAGGCUGAACAAGCACCUGGACGAAAACAAACUGUUCCCAGAAGAGCAGAAAGGAUGCCGCAAAGGCUCAUAUGGCUGUAAAGAUCAACUAAUGAUUAAUAAAGCCAUAACUGAAGACAGCCACAGAAAGAAGAAAGGCCUCAGUAUGGCCUGGAUUGACUACAAAAAGGCGUUUGAUAGCAUCCCCCACACAUGGAUCCUCGAAACACUAGCCAUUAACAAAGUAGCACCAACAAUCAUAAAAUUCAUAGAGCACUCUAUGAAUAAAUGGCAAACAGUCCUACACCUCCAAACAAAAGAGGGACUCAUGAAAACCAAAGACAUCCCCAUUAGAAGAGGAAUAUUCCAGGGAGACACGCUCUCUCCACUCCUUUUCUGCUUGGCACUGUCACCUCUAUCUGAUAUGCUAAAUAGAACUGGAUGCGGAUAUAAAUGUUACGCUGCAAAUGACAAACAGCUGGAAACACUAUUAAAGACAGUUUAUGGAUUUACCAAAGAAAUAGAUAUGAAAUUUGGAUUAGAAAAAUGCGCCAAAGUAACCAUGAAAAGAGGAAAACUAGUUAAGAGUAACAACAUCACACUAGAUAAAACCAAUGAAAUAAAAGAAUUAGACCAAAGCCAAACUUACAAAUACUUAGGAAUCCAUGAACUAGAUAAGACACAACACACACAAAUGAAAGAGAAAAUAAAAAAAGAAUAUUAUAGACGAGUUAGAUCAAUACUAAACACAGAGCUCAAUGCUAAAAACAAGAUAAUAGGUAUCAACACUUUAGCUGUCCCAGUUAUAAGUUACAACUACAAUAUCCUUAACUGGACACGAAAUGAACUGACCAAAAUAGAUUGGAAAACAAGAAAAAUACUGACAGGAUCUAGGAUGCAUCACCCAAAAUCUGACAUAGAAAGACUAUAUAUACAACGUAUAGAAGGUGGUAGAGGCAAUAGUUGAGAAGCUCAGGACUCAAAGCAGAGACAGAGGGAUUUUUAAUUGCAGCACAAGACCAAAGCCUCCCCACCAGAAAUUACCAAAAACGUGUAAUGAAAAGAAAUAUUACAAGUAACUGCAGAAUAUGUGGAGAUGGACAAGAAACAAUAAAUCAUAUUAUCUCUAGCUGCCCAGUCCUGGCUAAGAAGGAAUAUAUUCACAGACAUGACAGAGUUGGAACCUACAUACAUUGGAAGCUAUGCCAACAUUAUGGAAUAACAACAGAAAAAAGAUGGUAUAGGCACACACCAGAAAAGGUCACAGAAAACGAGAAAGCAACCACACUCUGGGAUAUGCCGAUACACACAGAUAGAGAAAUUAAGGCCAACAGACCAGAUAUAGUUGUCAGAGAUCACGAAGGAAAAAAAUGCUUUCUAAUUGAUGUAUCAAUACCGGCUGAUGACAACGUGUCUCUAAAAGAAAUGGAGAAACUCUCAAAAUACAAAGACCUGGAAAUAGAGGUAACUAGAAUGUGGAAUCUGAAAACAGAAACAAUUCCUAUCAUAGUAGGUGCAUUAGGCAUGAUAAAAAAAUAUUCAGACAAAUACAUAACAAAAACACCAGGACUUACAAACACAUAUAACAUAGAGAAAAUUGCACUACUAGGCACUGCACACAUCCUACGCAGAACACUUUCCAUACAAUAACCAUCAGAGCAUCACAACAUCACAGCACAUACCCAAGGCACACAGAGCUGCGCUCGGUAGUGAAGUGAAAGCACGCUAUAAAAAUAAAACUACUGAAUAAUAAUAAUAAUAAUAAUAAUAAUAAUAAUAAUAAUAUUAAUAAUAAUAAUAAUAAUAAUAAUAAUAAUAAUAAUAAUAAUAAUAAUAAUAAUAAUAAUAAUAAUAAUAAUAAUAAUAAUGAUAAUAAUUCAAGUAUGGAAUUUAUAAAUAUUUUAAUGUAUCGCUACGCGCAUUUUCAUAAAUCACAUGUUUUCUGUGAGCAUAAUCCGCAUUCAACAGAUUAUUACAAUACAAUUUAUUAUAUUCAGGGAUAUCAGGUGCAUCUUCGUUCCUGUACUCUUUUCUUAAGGUGGUAUAGCAUUAAAGCUGGAAGUAACGAAUGUUCAACUGAAGGAUGUUAAUAAUUGCUGAUCCUAUUGGAUCCGCGCAACAUCGAAAAACUUAAUUGUACCACAAGAAGUAAUUAACACGACCCUUUAAGAGAACAACACUUGUCUACUCGGACAACCCAAAAUAUCAGGCAACCUAAUCACCAGCCUGAUCUGUGGUAAGCAAAAACUUCGAACCGACAGCAUCAAAACAAAAUUUGCUCCCUUGCCUGCCACAUCUAAAUUCCUUAAGAAAUCACCUGCUGUACCUAAGGUACAUUCCAGUCGAACGAUUUCAAUUUGAUCAUAUCCAAAGAAUAUCCAGCGCUUCACACAGUUCUCUAAACAAGAAAUUGUAAGAUAUGGAUGUUGUCUUGCAUUGAAGUUUCCGGAAUCACAGACGAAACCAGUGACAUUUUAAAAAUUUAACGACAACGUCGUUAUUAAGGAUUUGGCCAAUGUCUUUAAUUCUACAUUUAAUAGUUAUGGGUGCAAAUUAUUGUCAAUAUUCCUUUCGUUCGCGUUCUUGAUUGCCAGUAUCCUCACACAUUCGUGUUGUUACUGACAUUGUUCUGUUUGCAGGUUUUUCACUAUGACUACUUUUGCUAUGCCAAUAUUAAUGGUCUUGACGAUCGGCGACCAACUUUCGUAGCUUGAUUUUGGUCGAUUUUCUCCACUUGAAACGUACAACUUGUUUAAUCUUCCGAUACGCUAUUAAUUGAUGAAGUUAAGUUGGACGUGACUUGUUCAUUUUAUCAUCGUUGGUGUAGAGACCUCUCCUCUACUUAUCUCUCUUACAAUUUAUUUUAUCAUGAUUUUUGUAUUAAUCACAUAUGUUCACGCCCCUGUUUUUUUUGCCGUAGAUAUUGAUAUUGUUCCCACAAUACAUCCACUGUCCCCUCAGCUCUAUGGCUGUAUCCUGACGGUUCUCAAUUUUCUUGAUUUCUUUGUUAUCGACCCUGUUAUGACAGGGAAUUGCAAAAUCUGUGAUCUUACACUAUUUAUUUUCUCCUCUAUAAGCAUAUCUCGUCUUCUUGCAUAAAUGGUAUAGUCAGUCUUUAUAGCGGGGUCCCACAACGUCUCGUAAUUCUCAUUUUCUAUCACAGCUUCUGGUUCGUGUUUAUACAACUUUCCUGUUGUUUUGAAGUUAACAAACCAAUGCACUCUUUUGCCUACGCAGUCAUGUCUGCGCUUUACUCCUUUUUGCUUGUAUACUGUACUCAGUCAAAAGGUGAUUGGUACUUUCAUCUCUUUCCCUACAGAUUCCACACUGGCUGUCGGACUUCGUGGUAAAAUAAGCAGCACCAUAAUGUUUUGUAGUUGCUGGCUUUGCGUUAGAGAAGGAUCUUUUUAUUUGUAAUUUCAAAUUGUCAGGUCACUUGAGAAUCUUCAGUAAUCCUUGUUGGUAGAAUGUUAACAUUGUAAUGAAAAAUGUAACCAAUGAUGAAUGUUACACAAUGAACAAAUUUCACAUACAUUCUAAAGAACAGGAAACAAGUAUAAAAUGAAUGAAAAUAUAAUAUAUCAACUUAUAUUAAGAAAUAUAUGAAGAACAGGUAAAGUAACCCAACUACAAAGGGGUGAGAACCCACUGACUACUUUGUAGCAUAGCGUUCUAUGUCAUGUUCUUUCGCUUUGCUUUAAGAAUGAUUUCACUGAUGAAGUUCGUGAGAAUCUUUGGAAUCAGACUGGGCCAGAAAUUUCCGAUAUUCUGUAGGAAUUGCAGUAUUAAUAUAUGCACUUCUCAUGACUUUUUUAUUACCAUGCUGACUUCCAAAAAUAGAAGAAGAAGAAGAAGAAGAAGGAGGAGGAGGAGGAGGAGGAGGAGGAGGAGGAGAAGAAAAAGAGCAACUACAACAACAUCAACGUGGCGAAUGGAAAAGGAAGGGGGAGAAAUGGAAUGAGAAGUAAAAGAAGAGAAGAAGCAGAAUGAGGAGAACAACAAAAUGAGUGUGAGGAGAUGAGAAGUAAGAGAAAAUGAAGAGGAGGGGGAAGAAGUAGAAGAUAAAGAAGUAUAAAGAGAGGGCGCCUAAAAUUGUACAGCACCAUCCGAUUGCCAUGAAAUAAAUCCUCAAGCAGCAAUUAAAUGCCAACGAAUCAAAUCCCACCAAAACAUUUCUAAAAAGGCUGAAUAAUUGUGUCAGUAACAUACUGAUUUACUUUGAACUUUAUUGAUCAUUACCUUAUAUAAUUAAUGUAUUAAAAAAAUGUUCGUGCUGGUCGGCUUUGAGAAACUAUGUGUAAACAAGCUAAUGAAACGGUAGACUAAUUCAGCCAUCUUGUAAACAAUUUAAUGAAGCGUCAGACCGAUUCAGUCCUCAUUUUACACAAAGAAAUGUCAAACAAAUAAAACCAUAUCCUUCAGCUCAAGGUUAAAAGCAGUAUAGGUACUUUAAAUGUGAUGUAUAAAAUGUAUGAAAUGGAUAUUGAGCCGCUCCGUAGCACCAGAAAAAAUUAAACUGGUACUUGGUAAAGGGUGAUUAAUCUAAAUAAAGCACUAUACAUAGUUCCAUAAAUAAUUUUUAAGUCUCUUCGAUUAUAAUCGGAAAGACCUAAGUAAAGAAUAUAUUAUAUUUAUAUUCUACUUGUAUGACAGCUCCGUCCUCGUUACUAAAACGCAACAACACCGAUGCAUCCAUAUUUCAAUUUGGAGAGAAACUCACCCUGAUGUAAACCUAAAGUGAGAUCCCAUUAAACUAAAUUAAGAAAUAUAUUCUAUGGUUCGGCGUUAUAAAAAUUCGAAGCAAAACUUAGGAUAGAUUUAAUACGCACAAAACAUUAAAUCAAACAAAUUAAACAAACAAACAAAAGAAUAGAUUGGUCAAAAAUUUGGUAAAAGACAUGAAAUAAAUAUGAAUUUUUAAAUGAAUGUACACGGUGCUUAAAAAAAGAUAUAACAAUAACAAAAACAAGAAAAAUAUUUAGAGUUAAUAUGCGUAGAUGUGUUUGGGAGUUCAUUAGCUAAGUUAAGUCAGGGCAACGUGUGUGGCUCUGAACGACUCUGCACAUCUUUAUGGUUAUAUCCCAAUUUUUAAUGUUCGAGAAAUCUGUCGUCUACACAAGGCUAGUGAGUUGUACCUAACCUUUAUGGAUAUAUCUCGUCGAGAAUAUAUCUCUGAAUAUAUGGGGAUUUUUCGACCAGUACUGAAGCAGUUAUACUGUAAAUAAGCCUAUGUCCAAUUUUGCCUACAUGCACUAAAUGAUAAUCACGAUGGAUCGAAGAAUAAAUGCACUGAGGGUAUAAUAUCUGGAAAUACUUAUGACCCGAAGACAAGAAAAGAAGCCAGUCCGUUUGCAUUCCAGUGUAUGAACCGAGACAUAUAUGUAUGUUAAAAUGGAGCAGCACCAAUACAGUGUUCUGAAAAUAUGUAGAUAGUUCCCUAGAUAUAUCAAGUAUAUAUUAAUACACAAACACACACACACACAUACACACACAUAUAUAUAUAUAUACAAAUAUAUACAAUUAUACACAAUAUAAUCCCUCUCCCUCUGUUUGUCUCUCUGUCUUUCCGUAUGUAUGUAUAUACAUCUGUGAGUGUAUAAAUAUAUACAUAGAUACAAAUACAUACAUGUACACACAUGUAUAUACAUACAUAUAUAUAUAUAUAUACAGAUAGAUAGAGAGAGAGAGAAAGAGAGAGAGAGAAAGAGAAAGAGAGGGAGAGAGAGAGAUGGAUAGUGCUGACUGCCGGAAAAAUGAUUACUCAGUACCAUAAAAGAAAUUGAUAUAUUUUAUUUUGGUCAAGCCAGUCUCUUGUUGCUACUCUGUGUUUCGUCUGCGGGCGCACAGGGUUUUUAGAGAAGUCAUAACUUGACUAAAGUUGAAUUGAUUGUAGAAAUAACAACUGGUGUAGAAGAUCUAAAAGUGAAAGAUAACUCAGAUGUGGAACACGCCAAAAUAAUAACAAAAUAAUUUACAUAUCAAUUUGACAUAUAAAAGAUGCUAACCAUUCUUAGGCUUAAGGGAGAAUAAGAAUGUAAAAAAAAAAAUCUCCCGAUUCAUAUAAUUUUUCUUAAUUUCUACAGCUGCAGUGAAAUUGCGGUUAUUUUUCUGUAAUUUUUGGCAAAUCAUUGCAGACAAUACUAUUGAGAAAUAAGCGAAAGUGAGCGUAAGAGUUUUUCUGCGUAUUUAGAAGGUUACGAUGAUUCUCUACUGUGUAAUUGGUUCAGUUUCAACAGACAAUCUCAGAUCAAAUCACUUGCCAAGCUAAAGUGUUUCUCCAGAAUGUAGAAUACAUACUCAUAUGCACACACAUACACACACACACACACACACACACACACACACACACACACACAAUUAUAUAAGCAGAUAUUUUUGUAAAUACAUGCAUAUAUAUAUAUAUAUAUAUAUACAUACACGCAUACAAAUACAUAAUACAUGUACACACGCAUACAUACGUGCAUACGCACACACACAUAUAUAUGCAUUCUUACAUGGAUAUAUGAGAGUGUGUAUUUAAACAUUGUAGUAAAUGAUGCUUUACAAGUGUAUUUUUUAUUCGUCUUCAUUUCCUGUUCAUCUCGUUCAUCUUGAAUGAAGAAAAUGCUACUACUAAAAUACAAACAUAUCUUUAUACGAAAGAAACAUAAUAGUGUGUACUGAUAUAACCCUGACCUUAGUAUCUUUAUCUCCACCAAUCACUAGGAAUACAAUAUAUGUACACACAGACGACGGAAAUAAUGCAUUACUACUCUUAUACCAAAAAUAGAACAAAUGGCCUCUAUUUCACAAGAGAUUAAUUGUAAAAAAUUUGUCGCAGACAAUGGCACAUCUGCUGGUUCUCAGAUAACAAAGUUGAUUUGAUGCUAAAAAAGAAACACAAUAGUUGGUCGUCACCAGCGUCAUCAAUCAGCAAUAACAAGAUAUUAGAGAUUAGAUAUAUAAUGCUUCUAAUCAUACUUUUUACUUUCCUUUCAAAGUUGUCGCGUAAGCCAUCGUACUUGAUACCAUAACAUAAAUCAAUGGAGUGUUUCCCCACAGAUGAUGUGAAGGUUAGUAGGAAGAAAAUGGCUGUAAAUAACUUGAGGAGUAUUAGUUUGUUAUGGAGAAAUUGCUUCGAAACAAUAAUUUAUCGAAGAUAUAGAAUAACAGCAACGAAUGGAGUUCACAUUAGAUAAACAUACUCUGGAGCACACAUAUGCAAAACAUAGAUUGUUUGGAAUUUUCUUAAUCACGAAUUUUCUUUAUCAUGAAUUUUCUUUAAUAUGUAAUCUUGCUAAAUAAUAUUGGUUUCAAAUUUUGGUAUUAGACCAGCAAUUUCGUGGGGAGCAGUUGGUCGAUUACACAGACUCCAGUACUCAACUGGUACUUGUUUUAACAACCUCGAAAGGACGAACGGCAACAUCAUCCACGGCGGAAUCUGAACUCAGGAAGUAAAGAAGGGCGAAAUUCCGCCAAACAUUUUGCCUGGCGUGUAAAGAUUCUGUCACCUGCCAAAUAAUAUUACCAGUUCAAUCUCCUUCUAGGACAUAAAACAUGAAGAUUUAAAGAUAAUCUAAACAGCGAUGUAAUGACAGAAUUCGUAGAGUGACAAACAAAAUAUCUAGUAGUAUUUCGUUUCGUUUACUUGCAUUCUAAGGUCUUAUUCCACCAAUUUCGAAUUCACUUUUCAUCACUAAAGUGAGUGAAAUAAGUACCAAUGAAGUAAAUGGACUGUUACAAAUACAUGGUCUCCUCUCCUAAACUGUAAAGCUUUGUGUCUCAGAUAGAAGUCAUGAAAUAGGUAAGUUAUAUCUUGACUUCAACUUUUGGCACAAGACUAACAUUUUGGGGGCAGGGGCAUAAUCGAUUACAUUAACCCCAGUGUUCAACAGAUACUUACUUAAUCGACUCGGAAAGGUUGAAAAGCAAACUUCAAAGUCGACCUCAGCUGAAUUUGAACUCAGAACGGACGAAAAGCAGCUGAGCAUUUUGCCCGGCCUGCUAACGAUUCUGCCAGCUUGCCGUCUAAAAGGCAAAUCAUAUAUUUAUUUCUUUAUUGCCCACAGGGGGAUAAACACAGAGGGGACAAACAAGGACAGGCAGAGGGAUAAAGUUGAUUAUGUCGACCCCACUGUGAAACUGGUACUUAUUUAAUCGACCCCGGAAAGAUGAAAGGCAAAGUCAACCUCGGUGGAAUUUGAACUCAGAAUGCUAAGUAUUUCGCCCAGCGUGCUAACGACUCUGCCAGCUCGCCGCCUAAAAAGGUAAACUAUAUAUUAACGUCUAUUUGAAUUUGAUACUAAACUGCGGGAAAUAAAUACUUCAGCUACUGGCACAAAACUGUCAAGCGCAAUAACAGUAGUAACACGACGAGCUGGCAGAAUCAUUAUCACGUUGAACAAAAUGCUUAACGUCAUUAUUCCGAAUCUUUACCCUCUGAGUUCAAAUCUCGCAGAGAUCAACUGAUAUUUCCUCUAUUCGAGGUCAACUUUGCUUUUCUCCACUCGAAGUCGAUAAAAUAAAGCACCAGUCAAGAACUGGGGUCGAUGCGAUCGAAUUGUCUCAUUCCCUCAAAAUUCCUGGUUUUGAACUCUGUAACGGACCGGCGUCCCAUUCAGCAGAGUGUUGCGACCUCCGUCAUUGAUACUCCAUGGAAUCCGGAUAACCGACUUUAUUAGUGCCAAGGCUCAAGAAAAAAAUGAUAAAAUAGCUGUGGAGACGAUAGGAAUGGUGGUGCAGAAUAAAUACGUUGUAGUUUUUAGUUUCAUCCCUGUAAAUUCCUAGUUCAAGGUUGGUCGCUUUUACACUCCUUCCCCACACAGUCAUUAAAUUAACUAUCACUAAUACUCUAAAUCUACUUGAAUGAGUUAAUAGGCUAUAUAUACUCUUCGUUAUGAAUUCUAUUCUGUUUCUUAAUCAAUAAAUUUUCUGAUUUAAGCUGAUUCCGUAUGCGAGAAAUUUAGCAUUCUAGCAAUCAAUCCUGUAUUCCAAAUAAGAGUGAAAAUAAGGUCACGUAUUCAAUGCGAAGAAGAGUGGCUAAAACCCACGAUAAAAGCAGCAUAAAUUCCUGCAAUAUUUCAAUGUUAAUAAACUAAUUAUGAAAUGAAAUUAUAAAAUUUGUAAACGAAUGAUUAAAUUUUAAAGCAAAAAUAUAUUUUAAAUAAAAAUUAAAAGCGUUUCAUUUAAUGAUUAGGCACUAUUAAAACCGAAUAAAUGCAUUCAUUUAUCACGUAGCUUGUUUUUUAUUAUUUUUAAUGUAUUGCAUUAUUUUUGUUUCGGACAAGUACGAUAAAUAUAUUGAAUAUAUUAUUUGGGAUUUAAAUAUCUGAUAUUGGAUACCUUAAAUUUGCAUAUCUCGGCUAGCAUCUGAGAAUCAUUUCCUCCCAAACAAAUCUUAUUAAAUUAUCUCGAGAACUUAUCUCCUUAUUUCUUUUUUUUGUCUUAGCGAAAUUGAGCCAAAAACCUCCAUUGUUCAUUCUUCUUCUUCUUCUUCUUCUUCUUCUUCUUCUUCUUCUACUACUACUACUACUACUACUACUACUACUUCUUCAUCUACUACUACUACUACUACUACUACUACUACUACUACUACUACUACUACUACUUCUUCUUCUUCUUCUUCUUCUUCUUCUUCUUCUUCUUCUUCUCUUCCUCCUCUUCUCCUCCUGCGGCGAGCUAGCAGAAUCGUUAGCACGUCGAGCGAAAUGCUUAGCGGUAUUUCGGCUGCCGUUACGUUGUGAGUUCAAAUUCCGCCGAGGUCGACUUUGGCUUUCAUCCUUUCGGGGUCGAUAAAUUAAGUACCAGUUAAGCACUGGGGUUGAUAUAAUCGACUUAAUACCUAUGUCUGUCCAUGUUUGUCUCCUCUAUGUUUAGCCCCUUGUGGGUAAUAAAGAAAUAGGUAUUUCGUCCGCCGCUGCGUUCUGAGUUCAAAUUCCGCCGAGGUCGACUUAGCCUUUCAUCCUUUCGGGGUCGAUUAAAUAGGUACCAGUUACGCACUGGGGUCGAUAUAAUCCGUUUGUCUGUCCUUGUUUGUCCUCUCUAUGUUUAGCCCCUUGUGGGUAGUAAAGAAAUUGGUAAAAUACUUAGCGGCAUUUUGUCUGUCUUUAUGUUCUGAUUUCAAAUUCUGCCGAGGUCGACUUUGCCUUUCAUCCUUUCGGGGUCGAUUAAAUAAGUACCAGUUACACAAUGAGGUCGAUGUAAUCGACUAGUCCCCUCCCACCAAAUUUCAGGCCUUGUGCCAAUAAUAAUUGAAAGGCUUAUUCUUAGCCGUAUUUCGCCCGUCGCUACGUUCUUAGUUCAAAUUCCACCGAGUUUGACUUCGCCUUUCAUUCUUUCAGGAUCGAUUAAAUAAGUACCAGUUGAACACAGGGGUCGAUGUAAUCGACUCAUUCUCCUACCCCCAUCCGAAGAUGCCCUUGUAGCAAAAUUUUGAAAUAAUAAUAAUAAUAAUAAUAAUAAUAAUAAUAAUAAUAAUAAUAAUAAUAAUAAUAAUAAUUAUUAUCAUUAUAAUUAUUAUUAUCAUUAUUAUUAUUAUUAUUAUUAUUAUUAUUAUUAUUAUUAUUAUUAUUAUUAUUAUUAUUAUUAUUAUUAUUAUUAUUAUUAAGGCGGCGAGCUGGCAGAAUCGUUAGCACGCCGGGCAAAAUGCUUAGCGGUAUUUCGUCUACCGUUACUUUCUGAGUUCAAAUUCCGCCGAUGUCGACUUUGCCUUUCAUCCUUUCGGGGUCGAUUAAACAAGUACCAAUUACGCACUGGGGUCGAUAUAAUCGACUUAAACCAAUUGUCUGUCCUUAUUUGUCCCCUCUGCGUUUAGCCCCUUGUGGGUAGUAAAUAAAUAGGUAUUUCGUCUGUCUUUACGUUCUGAGUGCUGCUGAGGUCGACUUUGACUUUCAUCGUUUCGGGAAGGAUGAAAUAAACACCAGUUGAUCACUGAGUUCCCGGUCCUGUGCCAAAUUUUGAAACCAUUAGUAGUAAUUUUAUCAUUCUUUUUACUGUCAGCAACACGUUCACUUCGCGUUACUCGUCAGUUUUGUUAUAGUUUAACCAUCUUUCAAAGAGUUUGUCUUUUUUUGUUUUUUUUUUCCUGCACUGUAUAUCACAUAAAGGCGUAAGGAUUGAGUAGCUCUGUUGUCAUUUUCACACUUCGGAGCGGAAUUUGCGAUAUAUUUUGUAACAAUUACCAAAAAAAAAAAAAGCAAACUAAAACAAAACACAAACAAAGAAAUGUAAGUUCAGAGAUUAGAAAACCUGUUUUAACUUUGAUUUUCAUAUUUAAAACGAAACACCACCUUCAUCACCACUACCCAAACAAAUGUUAACCGAAACAACAACGACAACAAAACAAAUAACAACAGCAUCGACAUAUAUAAUGAAGAUAGCGACAACAACAAUGACAAAGAAAUAAAACACAACAGAAACGAAGGCGUUGAUAUUCCGUCGUUCUGUAAGGUUUCUCGCGGAAGUUUCCUACUUUAGGGGAAUUAUAAAUUGUUUAGAAUUUAGUUUUUUUGUUGCUGCUAGCCUUCUUUAUACACGCUCGCUUAUGAUACUCCUCAAUGUAUCGUCAUUAACUGUUCCAAAUCUUUUUGGGAAACUAUGAUGGUUAACAAAGAAAAUUAAUAUUUUAAUAUUGGCAAGAUCUUUACCGCACCGGUCAAAAUGUUUAGCAGCUUUUCUUCAAGAUCUUUACAUUGUGGGUUCAUAUUGCAUCAAUGCCAGCUUUGCGUUUGAUCCUUUCGGGGUCGACAGAAUAAAGUAUCCCUCAAGUUGUGGGGUCUAAGUAAUCGACUAAUCCAUUCCCAACUAUUGAGCUUGGAUAAAAAUUUGUUACAAUUCUUCUUCUUCUUCUUCUUCUUCUUCUUCUUCUUCUUCUUCUUCUUCUUCUUCUUCUUCUUCUUCUUCUUCUUCUUCUCCUUUUUCCUCUUCUUCUUCUUCUUCUUCUUCUUCUUCUUCUUCUUCUUCUUCUUCUUCUUCUUCUUCUUCUUCUAUUCAUAUACGCUCAACAGAUUAGACUGCUGGAAAAGAAGCGAAUCAUAAUAUCCGGCUACAACAAGUGAACUUAGAUGCCAAGAACCCUCCUAUUGGGUUACAGCAAGUAACAUUAGGUGUCAAGAACCCUUCUAAGUAUCCCAGCACAUUGUUUUAUGCAGCUUUACUAAACUGGAUUUUAUGCCUAUUUCCUCCAUCCAUCUGUUCAGAUCUUUAGGGUAGUUACCAAUGCACCUAUAGCUACUGGGAUACAUUUUACCCGCACUUUCCAUAGUCUCUGUAAUUCAAUAGUAAGUUCCUGGUACUUUGCUUUUUUUUCUAUACUUCUCAUAUUAAUUUUUUAAUCAUUUGAGAUUGUAAAGUCAAUUACCUGGCAGUCUCUACUCUCUUUAUCUACUACUACUACUACUACUACUACUACUACUACUACCAAAUCAGGCCUUUUAGCACCUUGUUCACCACCACUAGGUUCAGUCUGUUAUGCUCGUGCACCUGAUCUGUUUGGAUUGGGAAAUCCCAGAAGAUUUUGCUAGUCCCCGACUUCACCACUUUCUGUGGUUUGUGCUCAUACCACAUCUUGCUUCUCUCUAGCCCCGAUUUUUCGCACCAUUUCCAAUGUAGCACUUUCGCUGCCUGGCCGCGUCGCCACAACUUGAAAUGGUUUUAGGCAAGUCUACGGCAUUCGUUCGUGAUAUGAUUAUUAUUAUUAUUAUUCAGUAGUUUUAUUUUUAUAGCGUGCUUUUACUUCACUACCGAGCACAGCUCUGUGUACCUUGGGUAUGUGCUGUGAUUUGUUGUGAUGCUCUGAUGGUUAUUGUAUGGAAAGUGUUCUGCGUAGGAUGUGUGCAGUGCCUAGUAGUGCAAUUUUCUGUAUGUUAUAUGUGUUUGUAAGUCCUGGUGUCUUUAUUAUGUAUUUGUCUAUUAUUAUUAUUAUUAUUAUUAUUAUUAUUAUUAUUAUUAUUAUUGAAUGAGAGAGCAGCGAAUGUCAUUAAAAUGACACUGGUGUAGAAAUAUAUGAAGACCAAUAUACACAUUAUCAGUACUUGUCUGGUAAGAUUACUCCAGGCACAUGCAUCACAACUAUACGUGCACGAGACGGUGCUCUCACAUGAAACAACGCAUGACCUGUACUUCAUUUCAAAAGCCGGUAGAUUAGUUGAAUCGUUCAACGUCAAACAAAAUGCAGUAUUUGUUCUGGGUCCUUAUGUUGUAUAUUGCAUACGAGGCGGUGUUAAAAAGUUCCUGGCCUCAGAGGUGUCGUGAAAGGUCUGAUUGGGGGCCCAAUCCUUCAAGUACUUUUCCAGGAUUUAGAAAAAUUGAAGGACCACUGCAAUAAAUGUGUGAAUCUGAGAGGGGAAUAUAUUAAUUAAAAUCAUAAUUAACUGAUUAUCCUGUAUUUUCCUUUAACCAAAGCUAGGAACUUUCCAGCACACCCACGUAGAGGUUAAGUUCACCUCUUGCCCUUUCCCGGUUGACGAUAAAAUACCUGCCAAAUUCAGAUUUGAUUAAAUCGACUGUUACGUUCCUGCAAUUUUCAUACACUAUCCCUGAAUGACGACUUCUUUUCAUACACUCUACACGGAUUCUUUAUAUAUUCAUGCAUAAUAUUCUUUACAUAUUAACCGUACCAUCUGCAAUGUUGUCUUGAGAUUUUGUAAAAUAAAUGGGAGAGUGUAAUUUAAUCUUCAAUUUCUGCUUGAAUAAAUUCGAAAAUUUUCGCAGGAAAAAACCUGCACAAGAAAAAUAGCAUAAUUCUAUUAAAACGAAUGAUUCAAACACCCAUACGCCACCCAUAUGGUGUUGAGUACUCUAUAAUUUUUGCAAUUCAUUACUAGCGUGUAUAUGUAUAUAUAUAUAUAUAUAUAUAUAUAUAUAUAUAUAUAUAUAUACACAUAUAUAUAUAAAUACAUACAAUACAUAUAUAUAUAUAUAUAUAUACAAUGCAUAUAUAUAUAUAUAUAUAUAUAUAUAUAUAUAGAGAGAGAGAGAGAGAGGGCGAGAGAGAUUUAUAUUUGCGUGUGUGUAUUUAUAUAAGUGUAUGUGCAUGUGAGUGUGUAUGAGUGUAUAACAUGUAAUGAAGGCUGUCACCAAAUUUUCGUAUAGGAAACCUCAGAACACAGUUUUAUUACUUCCAUAUUAUCAGUGUUAAUUUCUUUACUAGAAACAGAAUUCCUGCAAGAUCUUUAAAGAUUAAUAUUUAGAUAUUGUUUAUCAUAUUUAUCAUUAGAUCUAACAUUGUGUGAUAUUCUUUUGUUUUGUAUUCAUACUUUAUUUCAAUAAUUCUCCACGCGUAUAUUUUCCUGAUCUUUAUAUUUUCCAGGUUUGUGUUUAUCAAAUCUUACAUAAUCCAAUAUCUAGUAUCUGAUAAUAUAUUCUUAUCUAAACACAGCAGUUGCUUAUUCACUUUAUUAAAUGAUGAACUGAGAAUAAAACAUUUAAAAUAUACGUUUCAAUGGAAAAAAAUCAAAAAAUAUGCAGUAAGUUAAACGGAAGUAAAUGUUGCUUUCCAUGCCCUUUGGGAGCUGUAAAAUAUUUUCAUAAAAAGUAUUUAAUGUUAUUAUUUCUGCGCUAAUAAAUCGAAUAAAUUUAGUUUGUUGAAAUAAAUAAGUUCAGAUAGGAGCAGAGAAAUUGACAUUCUGAACACAGGAUCUUCAACAGGGUUUAGAUUGCGCGUGUGUCAGGGAAUGGCCUGCAGAAAACAGCAGUUAUGUUUGUGAGUUUUCUUGAUUUUAUGUUUGACAAAUCUGUUCUAUCAAUUCUGGAUAGUGCCAACAAUAAAUAUAUGCUGGAAAGCGAAAAGCGAAUAGAGUGAGGGAUAACACCGUCGAUAUGGCGUAGAUUGAAAACAAUUAAUAAACAAAAGCAAUUGACUGCUUGAGUAUAAUUGUAUUAGGGUGUAGAACAGUAUAUACUAAAAGAAAUUAGAAUAAACUUGGAAUAUACGGUGAAUGGUGAUAUGUUAAAUACAAGGUGUUAUAGAGGAGUGGAUGUUGAUUGAUGGUUAAUUUCCUGGUUGCAAAGACAAACGGCUUAAUCAGUUCACAGCAUGCAAAGCAAAUGCAUCAAGGAUAUACCGUUAACGUUCACACAUACAUACACAUAUGUAUAUAUAUAUAUAUAUAUAUAUAUAUAUAUAUAUAUAUAUAUAUAUAUAUAUAUAUAAAUAUAUAUAUAUGUAUAUAUAUAUAUAUAUGUAUAUAUAUGUAUAUAUAUAUAUAUGUAUAUAUAUAUAUAUGUAUAUAUAUAUAUGUGUGUUUGUGUGUGUGUGUGUAGUACAUUUAUGUGUAUGUUUAUAUACACAUUUAUCUAUCAAUCUAUCAUAGGUAUAUAUAUAUAUAUAUAUAUAUAUAUAUAUAUGUGUGUAUAUAUGUAUAUAUAUAUAUAUAUGUGUGUGUGUGUGUGUGUGUGUGUGUGUGUGUGUAUAAAACACUGGAAAAUAUGCAAACAAGCAAGAUUGACGAGUUUUUCAACACUGCAGAUCUACAUGGGAAAAAGACAACCAUCGAUUACAAUCGACAUAAAAGAGGAAAUUGUAACAUUCGCCCAUUGAUGAGAUGGAUUUCGGCUCUUCUCGUAAAGACAUACAAGAAAGCUUUCGCAAAACAACUGCAGGUACUUUUUCAGAUCUCCUUUGCAUGUGAUAAACUUCCCAGAUUGUUAAAAUAAGAUAUAAGCCCUGUCUAGAAAGGAAGAAGCAGACAAAUUCUAAAUAACAGAGGCCUAUCUUUCUGUCUUCAUAUAUUAGCAAGGUUAUUGAACGCAUUGUAAGAGAGAGGCUGAUUACUUUCAUGACGCAAAAUAACUUUCUCAUAAGCACUCAGCAUGGCUUCCGUACAAAGAGAAGCUGACUCUCGCAGCUGCUACAACAUUAUGACCGGUCACUAAAACAGCAGCUCAACCACAAAAAAUGUAAAUGUGAUAUAUUUCAACUCAGUCAAGUCCUUUGAAGAAGUUGUUCAUGGGAUGAGAGGUCACAAACAGCGUGAUCUUGGUAUCGCUGGAAACCUAGGAGAGUGGCUGCAUGACUUGUUAAUAGGCAGAACUCAGACAGAAGCAGCCAAUGGUGCUCUUUCUUGGUGGUGGUGGUGGUGGGAGACAUCAAUUUCUAAAAUCAGCACAAGAGAACAGUGGAGUAAAGCUGUCUAAUCCUUACCGAUUCUGAAGACAUGAAAUAAAAAUUGACCUGGACAACUCAGUUCCAAAAUUCAAAAUGUGUGAUUGGAUUACUCAAGAUGUCCUACACUCUAACAUCUCCACCAACCUACUCCCUACUGAUUGCAAUACAUAAGAAUCGGAUAGAAAUAUAAAUAUAUGUCCGUUAGUAAGAAGGUCUCGCCUAUACAUUGAUCUCUUGUUAACUUACCACUGAAAUUUUCAACUGAAAAUGAGCUCAAAAUUUCUUACUUAGGAGAAACUUUUACCAGGGAAUAAUGGCAUUAAAGUGGUUCCAAAUUUCGGAAGGAGAGAAGUGGAGAAUUGUUACAGAAUAAUCAACAAUGGUCGUGAUGGAAUAAAUGACUUACAACAUUUGAUUCAACCCUGUACGUUUUUGUUUCAAUAAACCAAAUGUGAAGCAUCUACUGGUCCAUUUUAAUGCACUAUAUUCCUCUCUUGGGCUUGAAAGGAAGAUUUCUAUUGGAAAAAAUCUUCAUGUGGACCAACAGGGGAUAAAAACCUGUAGGUUAGACCAAUCUACAAGAGAUUCAAUUUUGCGAUCCAAUUUCAGAUUCUUACUUGAAGGUCUUUUAGCUUUACUCUUAAUAUUAAUAAACAAUGCCUUCGUUGCCUUGGAAUCUAUCAUUUCUAAAAGUACAAGUUGAGCAGUUUCGGUAAGUAGUUGUCUCGCAUGAUACUUUUGAAAUUUUGCAUAAGAAACUGAUACAAGUUUUUGAGAUCCCUGUUGUGAUGUCUCCUAUUUUUCCUGAUAGCAUACACCCGAUAAAUGUGCUCAUCACUUAAAUAUUUUCCCUGAGACAUACUACAUUUCCAAUCGCACGCUCAUAAAUUAUUUGCAAAAGAAGCACAAUCGACCAGAUGCUCCGUCAAAAUUAGAAGUUAAAUUUGCCACAAAGCAGCUGAUCACACUAUACCAUUUUAAAUAUACAUUGCGAGAUAUAUUGAUCCACGAUCAUCGACACGUAAGUUCUUGUAUUAAUGUUUCACUUUAGCAAAUACAUUAAGAAAGUCAGCUCGUCAUCCAUCUCGAUGCCGAAGUGACAAUAUUCAUUUCAAAGCAUUUUGUCUCAUUGUUUUCAGCUUGAUGCAUCUACUUCGCUAAGUUGGAAUUACCUACCAUUUCUCAUUGAUAGCUAAUCCAUAAAGAAGUUCGUCACCAACCUUGGAUAUAUCACAAAAUGAAGUACUACACGGUGGCAAGACAGCGAAAAGGCUCGCAUGACUUAUCACGCAAUGGUACUAUGCACAGUUGAAGCUUGUUGCGGGGCAAUCGGACAGCAUAAGAAACGCUGUCAAGUAAGCGUUUCAAUACGUUACUUUAUGACACUUUACAGGACCCGGGUCUACCUAAGUCAUAACUCUCACGUGGCCUGCUGCUGUUUUCGAAACGCUACCUUUAAUGAACCCAGAACCUACGGGUGACCCUAAUCCAUUGAAAUGUGGCGUAUACUACUCUGCCAUAAAGACAGCCGAAUUAACUUGUACUGUAGAUCCAUUUCAAUCGGGAUUUCCUUCUUACUGUUCUCUGUUUAGCAACUUCUAGUAUUAUUUUUAUGCUGCAACAAUACUUACUGUUUGCCCAUAGCUUCUCACAACUAUCUCUUGCAGGUGUUUCAUUGUCGCUUUCUUUUGAGACCUUUGCUUCCGAAAUGAAUUAUUAGUUAGCACAUGGAGGCCAUGACAAACCCUCGUGCACCAACAUCCCCUACCUGUACUGGCUUUUGUUUGCUCUUUAUGCUUGCGUGACAAUAUAUAUAUAUAUAUAUUUGCAUAUCUGUAUACCGUUAAGAACAACAGCAAAAUAUUUAGAGGGAAAUGAAUGCAAUCGAAAGCUUCGAUAUGAAGUUACUGCUCAUGUAUAUAUAUAUAUAUAUAUAUAUAUAUAUAUAUAUAUAUAUAUAUAUAUAUAUAUAUUAUAUAUAAGGGCUUAGUAAAAUAAAUUACUUUGCCGCAUACUGAACUCAUUAGAAAUAGCAGCUAAAAAACUUUUUAAAGCUAUUUCUAAUACUUAAAGAAAAUCUCUCUCAUAUAUAGUGUUUGCUUAAUUCAACUCACAAAAGUUUGGGGGUAAGGACAUUAAAAAAUCAAAUGCUAAGGUUAUUUGAGAACGUACGUUUCAAGAUUAGUCAAAACAACAUUUCUAUCUUCAGCUCAGAAACUCCUUGGUUUGGAUUUGGAAACACUGAAAGUAAGAACAUACCCUUUCGAAGAUCCGCUCGUAACUAACAGUGCCAACAAACCCAAAUAAGCAAGUGAAGAAUUUCUGUUCUCCCCUUUCCACCAGCGUGGGUUAAAAUCAUCAAACGCUAUGCUUAUUUCGGUAAAAUCCGAAGCAUUAAUUAGAGGGAGAUUAAUUAUAAUUUCAACAAUUGAGGGUAAAAUUAAUUAAUUAUUAAUCAAUUUCACCAAGUGUUCAGUAUGCUAAGGGACCAUUUAAGGCGAAUUCAAAUUAUUACAUUAUAUAAAAGGGCUUAGUAAAAUAAAUUACUUUGCCGCAUACUGAACUCAUUAGAAAUAGCAGCUAAAAAACUUUUUUAAAGCUAUUUCUAAUACUUAAAGAAAAUCUCUCUCAUAUAUAGUGUUUGCUUAAUUCAACUCACAAAAGUUUGGGGGUAAGGACAUUAAAAAAUCAAAUGCUAAGGUUAUUUGAGAACGUACGUUUCAAGAUUAGUCAAAACAACAUUUCUAUCUUCAGCUCAGAAACUCCUUGGUUUGGAUUUGGAAACACUGAAAGUAAGAACAUACCCUUUCGAAGAUCCGCUCGUAACUAACAGUGCCAACAAACCCAAAUAAGCAAGUGAAGAAUUUCUGUUCUCCCCUUUCCACCAGCGUGGGUUAAAAUCAUCAAACGCUAUGCUUAUUUCGGUAAAAUCCGAAGCAUUAAUUAGAGGGAGAUUAAUUAUAAUUUCAACAAUUGAGGGUAAAAUUAAUUAAUUAUUAAUCAAUUUCACCAAGUGUUCAGUAUGCUAAGGGACCAUUUAAGGCGAAUUCAAAUUAUUACAUUAUAUAAAAGGGCUUAGUAAAAUAAAUUACUUUGCCGCAUACUGAACUCAUUAGAAAUAGCAGCUAAAAAACUUUUUUAAAGCUAUUUCUAAUACUUAAAGAAAAUCUCUCUCAUAUAUAGUGUUUGCUUAAUUCAACUCACAAAAGUUUGGGGGUAAGGACAUUAAAAAAUCAAAUGCUAAGGUUAUUUGAGAACGUACGUUUCAAGAUUAGUCAAAACAACAUUUCUAUCUUCAGCUCAGAAACUCCUUGGUUUGGAUUUGGAAACACUGAAAGUAAGAACAUACCCUUUCGAAGAUCCGCUCGUAACUAACAGUGCCAACAAACCCAAAUAAGCAAGUGAAGAAUUUCUGUUCUCCCCUUUCCACCAGCGUGGGUUAAAAUCAUCAAACGCUAUGCUUAUUUCGGUAAAAUCCGAAGCAUUAAUUAGAGGAGAUUAAUUAUAAUUUCAACAAUUGAGGGUAAAAUUAAUUAAUUAUUAAUCAAUUUCACCAAGUGUUCAGUAUGCUAAGGGACAUUUUUUAAUGUCCUUACACCCAAACUUUUGUGAGUUGAAUUAAGCAAACACUAUAUAUGAGAGAGAUUUUCUUUAAGUAUUAGAAAUAGCUUUAAAAAAGUUUUUUAGCUGCUAUUUCUAAUGAGUUCAGUAUGCGGCAAAGUAAUUUAUUUUACUAAGCCCUUUUAUAUAAUGUAAUAAUUUGAAUUCGCCUUAAAUGGUCCCUUAGCAUACUGAACACUUGGUGAAAUUGAUUAAUAAUUAAUUAAUUUUACCCUCAAUUGUUGAAAUAUAUAUAUAUAUGUGUGUGUGUGUGUGUGUGUGUGUGUGUGUGUGUGUGUGUGUGUGUGUGUGUGUGUGUGUGUGUGUGUGUGUGUGUGUGUGUGUGUGUGUGUGUGUGUGUAUGUGUGUGUGUAUGUGUGUGUGUGCGUGCGUGUGCGUGUGUUUAAAUCCCGUGCAACAGUUCAGCAUUUCUAGAGUAAAGGACAAACUGGAAGAACAAUUUUGUCGUAAACAAUAUCUCUGAAGCUAAGCAUGCAUGAGCUUUUACAUAUUUUCGACUUAGAACAUUUAGAAUAUAAUUUCAUAACACAAAACAAGCAUACCCAUUAUGUGACUACCUCACUGUGUUAAUUUCUGGCGCACAGUAUAGAUACAUUAUUAUAUUUUCUCGUGAAAGAAGCUACGGGUGUUUGGUUACUAUUUUAAUAGAACAAGAACAAUAAUUCACUUCAACAUUCGUGAAUUGGUACAAACUACAAACCAUUAGGAGUGUAUUUUUGUUUGAGCUGGAAUGAAUAUAAUUUGAAAGCACGUGUUUGUGUGCGCUUUUCUGCAUAAAUCUACUACAUUCCAUAAGUUAUAUUACCGAAUGGUUAUGUUGCAUAAAUAGAGUUGUUUAUGGCGUAUUUAUUUAUAUUGGCAUCGUUAUUUAAACAUAAAACUGAGCUUUCCUUAUACGUAAUUUUGUCUUAGAAGUUGACAAAUUAAAUUACAUUAUGGUGAAAUCACAUCAAUACCAGAAUAAUAGAAAAACAAUUUACGCUAGGCACUCCUACCGUAAUAUAGUUUGAGGUUCUUUGUUACAUUCAUAAGCUCGGUGAAUUAUUAAACGAUGAUGAGAUUGACCCUAGCAGCAUGCACAUAACAGAAUUUAGGUCUCUAAUAUGAAGAUAGAUUCAGUUUCUCUUACGAUGUAGCAAUUUUAAUAUCCUGUAAGUACGAUUACUGCUGAGAUUCUAAAUUAGUAAAGCAUUAUCAAAUCUUGAGAGAAAUUGCCAUCAUUAUAUUUAAUUUUGAUAAAUAGACAACUUUCAGCGAGUUUUGAAGAGAAUGUUUCUUUCAUAAACUAUUCUCUUUAGAAUAUUCUCUAGUUAUGAGUUCGGUAAUUUCAAAACUAUAACUAAAAGUGUAUCAAUUUUCGAAAGUCUAGUGUUCUAUAUUGUAUUCUUCAUCCUGCUGCUGGAAUAAACUUAUAUAAUAGGUAAGAGUUAUUAGGAGCAUUGAUAUUACAUAUACCUCAAAAUGUAAUUUGAUGUAACAUUUUACUUAAACAAAUUACUUAAACACCAAUCUGUAUAUUACACGAAUUCAAUUUGUUAAUAUAACAUUCAUAGAAAGACAGUAUAUUUCACAAAUGUACAAGAGCGAAGAAUCAGAUACAUUUCGAAAUUUGAUUUGUGGCCUCUUGUCUGUGAUUUCAACUAUCAAAAGAGUACCCAUUACCCAUUAGUCAAUCCUUUACAUUUGAUCAAAUAAUUACUACUGUUAUACCGUGGAUUAUUCAAUUAACUCAACCUUGGUUUUAGUUAAAUAUAAUUAAUAGGCUACACUCUGUUUUACUGUUUAUGUUACAUCAAGUGUUUUGAUUGCUUUAUUAACAUAUCACGCUGCUUGUUUUCACGCAGACUUUCAAUAGUCGUGGGGAUAAUUGUCCUGCUUAUAGGUUCAAUAGUCAACAGAUUAUAUUUAGCUGGUAUCACCAAUCGUUUGCUUUGCUCAAUGCACCAGAUUUUACCAUAUAAACGCACGAAUCUGUUCUGCUGCAAAACCGAUAACAACCUUUGAGAGAAUUACACAAUAGUAAAGUGGUGAAUUAACUCGUUUCUGACAUGUUUGGUAAUGUACAGUGCACAGACAAAAUUAUCAGGCAAGAAUAAUAUAAUGGUGUCAAACAUUGACAAAAAUAUACCAUUUGUGACAAAAAUAUAUCAGUUGAACCAGUGUUUACAAUCUCAAGAAUAUUAUUCUGGACUGCUGAUAGAAACUGAAAUAGAGUCUGAUUCUCUGAAACAUUGAAGCGAAAGUUUGCGAGGAAAAACAGCUGCAAUAUCUUUAACCAAUGAAAUGAUAUCUUCAUCAGGUUGCUUAGAUUCUCUAAUUUAACUAUUACUGUUCUAUAUAUCAAUAACUAUCUCCAUAUAUAACACUGAGUGUUUAUUUAUCGUUUCAUUAAAAGCAAUGUAUAAACCGGACCAAUUUAGAAAACUAUUGUCAACAUCUAUAGAAAUUCUGUCUAUGUUUUUCCCUUUAUAAACCACAUAUAUGUAACCUUUUUAAAAGAGUAUUGAUUUUUUGACUGUCUUUGCUACGAGGUAAUUUGUUUUUAUAUUAUUUUCUAUGUAUAGUCUUCUAUUUCUAGUUAUAAUUACUUCCUUUGAUGUUGACCGGCAUAUUUACCAUAUACACGCACUUACAUGCAUAUACGGAAAAGCACACAAACAUACAGACAAAUGCAGACGCAUACAAACACACACGCCCGCGCGCGUACAUGCACAGAUGUAAAUGCGUGUGAGGAUGUGCGCUUGUUGAAUAUUCUUGUGCAGUUGUGAGAUGGACUACAUUCUACACUAAUGUACUCAGUGUUUUCAGCACACAAAAUAUUAAUUAAUUCAUCCAUUACAGUUUCCUCAUUUCUUUUUAACUCUCUGUCCAUCCAUGUAUGUAUGUAUGCAUGUAUGUAUGUAUAUAUAUAUAUAUAUAUAUACAUAUAUAUAUUAUAUAUAUAUAUAUAUAUAUAUAUAUAUAUAUAUAUAUAUAUAUAUAUAUAUAUAUAUAUAUAUAUAUGCAUCUAUCUAUCUACAUACAUACAUAUCCUUUCUCUCUCUCUCUCUUUCACUGUACAUUUACAUAUAUAUAUAUAUAUAUACACGUACACACACGCACUCACACACAUACAUAUAUACAGGCCGCGGUGUGUAAAUUCUCACCAUUUUAUAUUUUUAAUUUUGCGCAUGUACGUUGUUUGUUUUUAAUUCUGUCGACUACACAGUGUUGUAGGGUCGGUUGGGCAACGUCUGUGAGAAAAGCGGCACCAUGACGCAAUUCACUCUGCCAGAAAUUCGGAAAUGACAUGUUGUUCUGCUUGGUAUUAACGCCGGAAGCUCCAAAACCAUAAUUUCAGAGAUGUCAGUCUGAGGAAAGUGCAGAGAAUUCGGAAAGAGUCGGAUGAGUCUAAUGUUAAUUACGAAGGUACGGCAGCUCGGAAAACUCACUCUGAUCAUUCUGAUAAGAAAAGAACUCCUGAAUUUGUUGUUGAGAUCCCUCCAAGCCAAUCAGGUCCAUCGCCAGCGACAUGGAAGUAUUCGAGUUUCUUAAUGAGGCAGGAAGUGAAUGAAAACAUUCAGUAUUCCUCAUAUAAGAUGAGAAAAGGAUAAUUUUUAUCCCAGGCUAUCAAGGGCAAGAGGUAAGAUCGCACUACGAAGGUUUUGAACAAAUUCAAGCAUCCCCUCCAACCAAUCAUAUAUUGGUUUUUCUUAGAUGAGAAAAGUUUCUGCUAGGAUGAGAUGGAGAACACACAGAACAACCGUCCCCAAAACAACCGUCCCCAAAACAACAUGUCCCCAAAACAUGUACCUAAAGCGAUAAAAAUAAAAUAUUCAGUCAACAUCAUUGAAUCUGGAGUGAUCACUAGUGACGACGACGUUAUGUCUAUAUUCAUCUUCCCACAUGGCCCCAGACACAACACGGAAGUCUUCAAGUGCCUGGUGGAAGUAGUGCUGCCUUGGGUCAAGAGGAUUGCUGCUGGAAGACCCUAUGUCUGGCAACAGGACUCUGCACCAUGCAACACAAGCAGGAGAAACAAUUAUGGCUGUCAGUAUUUCAAGAUAUUUUUAUGUAAUUUUGGUAGAUAUAUUUGUUAAAACGAAAUGUCAGUGUUAUUUUCAUUUUUCUGUAAUUUAGACGACAAUAUAUUCACCGCACCCUGUACAUAUACAUACCUAUAUUGAGGUAGAUAGAUAAAAAAGGAGAGAGAGAGAGAGAAAGAGAGAGAGAGAGAGAGGAGGUGAUUUCAACGUGAUAUAAUCGUAUUUUAAAUCAACAUGAAACCAAUGGUAGCCUGGUUAACAUGCAAAUAAAAAAUACAUAUCUAUCAAUGUGGUGUUGUGCCCUCAUUCUCAUGUAUAUUAGCAUGUAUAUAUAUAUAUACAUACACACACACACACACAUAUAUAUAUAUAUAUAUAUACAUAUAGAUAGAUAGAGAUAUAGAUAUAGAUAUAGAUAUAUACAUGCACACAUACAUGCACAAACGCACGCACAAACACACACACAUAUAUAUAAUAUACUAUUCUAUGAUAGAAAAUUCAACAAGAAGAUACUCCAUCUGGUGAGAGAUAAAUAUAUAUAUAUAAACAGUAUUUUCACACUCCUGUAAUAUUUGAAGACUUGCUAGCUAAUAUUAGUAACAGAGUGUCUAUCCUCUCUUCUUCUAAAAGAAGUUUAGAGUAAGCAGAAACCUACUAUAACAAUUGAUAUAUAAUCCCUAUAAUAUUUAUCAGAAUAAUAAUAAGGGAACAAGUGGCAUUAAAUUUGAAGUAAUAUAUAACCCUUAAUAAUAAUAAUAAUAAGAAGAAGAAGAAAAGAUGAAGAAGACGAAGAAAAAAAGAAGGAAAAGAAGAAGAGGCCUAAAAAUAGGCCAAGGAAAAUUAUUUGGCUCACCCUCACUUUUCCCUUGAUAUAAAAAGUAACAUAGGUAACAGAUUCCUGUUUCUCAUAGACAAACACUUUGCAGCAACUCACAGGUAAGGGAAAACAUUUAAGAAGCUGUUAUGACAGUAAUAAUAAUGUUAGAACAUCCCUCCUACGUUACGAGUGGUAUGUGGUAGUCGUUACAAAUACCGAGUCGUAGGACGUCGAGUCGGUAGAGAAGACGGUGAAGUAGGUCAUACAUAGUCGUGUCUUUAGUUGUCUGCUAUACAGGAGUGGACGUUAUAACAGUCCCACGCUGGAUUACAACACAAGCGUUCUAUGAAAUUUUCACAUAGCUUCUGCCUCAAAAUGAAGAGCAUCAUAACGCGUGAUCAAUACCAAAAGCCAAAAUCCAAUUGUAGCUGUCGCGAUCCAGGAUCCUGUCUCCUUGACCAACGAUGUAUGAUUAAAUCUAUGAGGCAGAAAUUAAUGCAUCUCUAAAUGAAAAUACAACAGAUAAGAAGACCUAUGUUGGAUUAUGUGAAAGAGAAUCGCUAUGCUAAGCAUAUAGCCUCCUUCUGACAUAAGGAUAAAAGUAAAGUUGUCUAGCUACGUAUGAAGUUUGAAAGAUAAAGAAACACCCCAUGUGAUUAAGUGGAAAAUAAUUGAAAAAUCCAUACCGUAUGUUAAUGGAUCGAAUAAAUGUAGGCUUUGUUUAGCUGAAAGUGCACUGAUCCUGUUCAGACCUAAGAUCCUUAACUCUCUACUGAACUCUAGGUCUCAAAUCUUCAGUGGUUGCAUGCUUAUGUAUAAAUAUAUUUUGAAGAAUUGGAAAGUUGUGCCUAUUCUCGAUUAACUUAUUGAUAUCUUUCCAACAUUAUAAUUUAAGGUCUAAGGAGGACAACUCUUUUGUCUUUUUUUUUACUUAUUACUUUUUAUAUUUUAAUUUUUGUGCAUUCCUUUUCCGUUUUUCGUUUUUUAACAUUCCGCAUUUUCUAUCUGGUGCCUUCUCAGUGUUUUCCCAUUUCUUCAGCAUAUGAAACUAUUAGAAACACUAUAUAUAUAUAUAUAUAUAUUGGCGAUUGUUUUCCUCCGUCUUCCCUUCUUUGGAUCUUUCCUUUUCCUAUGUUUCUGACGAAGAGCUACGCUCGAAACGUUAAACCCUCCUUCUUUCCUUCUAUCCUGAGCGUCCAGUAAUACUAUACUUGUUCCACGUCCUCGCGUUGUUGUAUUUUCAUGUUUGGAUUAACUAUAUACAUACAUACAUACAUAUAUAUAUAUAUAUAUAUAUAUAUAUAUAUAUAUAUAUAUAUAUAUAUAUAUAUAUAUAUAUAUAGAGAGAGAGAGAGAGAGAGAGAUGGAGAGAAAAAUAGACAGAUAGAUAGAUAGAUAGAUAGAUAGAUAGAUAGAUAGAUAGAUAGAUAGAUAGAUACAUAGAUAAAUAGAUAGAUAAAUAGAUAGAUAGAUAGAUAGAUAGAUAGAUAGAUAGAUAGAUAGAUAGAUAGAUAGAUAGAUAGAUAGAUAGAUAGGUAGAUGCAGACAUUCGGUGGUGAUAUAACAGCUGAAUCUCACUCUCAGCGAGUGCUCUUACGAGUGCUGUUAUGCACCAUGCGUCAGAAGUAAAUAAGGAAGUAUUCUUUGUUCUAACACAUCCUCCACAUUAAGCUGGAAAUAUAUUGACUAUGGACAUUAAUAUUUCCUUAGUAGCAAUUAGUUAUUUUUUAAUAAGCCUGUUGAUUCUUUGCGCCAUCAGUUCCUGAAAAGGCACUGAAAUUCUAUAAACUGUUGAUUGUGUUGUUCGCCUGUUAUAUCGCUCCCGAAUAUCUUCUAAUGAUGAGUUCGAGUAGGGCGAAAUCUUACGCACGGUGCAUAAGAAUUCUCAUGAAAAUACUUGUUGAUCUGGCAGUUUCAGCGCUCGUAGUAGACGAUUAUCAUCUACCAACGAUGAAAUACGAGAGGCUUUAUGUACCAUAUAUUCAUAUCAGAGGUUCCCUCAAGGUAAAUAAUGCAGUAUUCGGUGUUCAAAGAUUACGUCGGUAUGAAGUUAGAUAAAAAGAUUGCCUUUUGAUGUAGACACACACACACACACAUGUAUGUAUAUAUAUAUAUGUAUAUGCAUAAACGUACAUAAUAUAUAUAUAUAUGUAUGUAUAUAUAUAUACAUAUAUAUAUUUAUAUAUAUAUAUAAUCUGGAUAGAAUGGUUACUUUUCAUAUAGAUGUAGAUAGAUAGACUUACAGACAAACAGACAGACAGACAGAUAGAUAUAUAUAGAGAGAGAUAGAUAGAUAGAUAGAUAGAUAGAUAGAUAGAUAGAUAGAUAGAUAGAUAGAUAGAUAGAUAGAUAGAUAGAUAGAUAGACUGAUUGAUUGAUUGAUAGUUGCAAAUAGAUAUAGAUGUAGAGAUAUAGCAUGUAUAGGUUCAUGUUUUGAAUGCAUGAAUAAUUGCGAAUAUAUUAUACAUGUAUACACAGACAGGCAUGUAUGUGCGUGUACAUAAGUGCCUGUGUGAUUGUUCAAUGCGUUAGUAGUGUAUUUGUGUGUGCAAGUAUGUAUGCGUGCAAUAGCCAUUAGACUUUCGGAACGCUGACCACAGAGCUUAAUAUAGCUUUAAUAAUCAGUACUGCCAAACACAAAAUUGAUUAGAUUUCAUCGUUAGCAUUCAGUAAUAGCACUUCAUUCGAUCGAUAGAAAAGUUAUAUUAAGACUGAAUGUGACACAACAACCGUUUUAGGUGCUGAUUACAUGUUAACAUCAUUGUAGUAAACAGAAUUUAUAGAAGAAUUGUGAAAUUUCAAAUGAAUUCGUGUAUUCAUUCGAUUGUUAGAUAUUUGUCUUCCCUUCUUAUGUCCCAGAAAUCUAUAAUGCAGUAAAAGUAUUAUAAGCUUUGACAAGAACAAUCAUGCCGUGAAGUGGAAGGAAUGCGAACAUUUUCAAUUACAGAAUGUUUUGCAAAAUGUUACACAUCAGUUCUAGAAAAACAAAAAUUAUGCAGAUGACGUUGUUUAUAGAUGAAUUCUAUCUUCCUUUUCAUCGCUAUUCUGUUAUUCUUCUCUAUUUUAGAAUUUUACUAGAUAUAACAUUUGAAAUGAAGAUUGGUCAGACAUCGAUAUUUCUGGGUUAUAUUCAUUUAUUGGUGAGGAAUGUUCUAAAAGAAGCUAUAAAAAUGCAAGUAUAAGUAAAUACAAAAUAAAGCAAAUAAGGUGAAUAUGGAAAAGCCAUGGAAAAACAUUAGAAAAUAUGUCAAAGACGUAAAGAGAGGAAAAGGGAAAAUUAAACCAAGAAAGAAAUGUAAAUUUCUUUUAUCUUUAUACUGAAACCUUCGUAUUGAAAAUAUACAAGAAACAAUAAUUCAACAAUUCUCCUGCCAGCUACAUUAAAAGCAUUUUCAUUGCAACUCCUUCCAGAAAUAUUCUUCGAAUUGUGUUAACACUAUUUUCAAUCCCUCAAAUUUAACUCUGGAUUCACAAGAAACAAUCUUGGUUCUUUGAAUGAUUUCAGAAAUACUGGAACCAUAUGAAGCAAACAUGAAAUAGUAAUAAAUAAUAAUAAUAAUAAUAAUAAUAAUAAUAAUAAUAAUAAUAAUAAUAAUAAUAAUAAUAAUAAUAAUAAUAAUAAUAAUAGCCCUUUCUAUUAUAGGUACAAGACCUGAAAUUUUGAGGGAGGGGGAAAGUCGAUUACAUCGACUCCAGUGUUGAACUAGUAAUUAUGUUAUCGACCCUGAAAGGAUGAAAGCCAAAGUCGACCUCGAUGGCAUUUGAUAUCAGAAUAUUUUGUGCUUGUUUUAUUUCGAUUUGCUCGUAUAUAAGGUAUGUUCAGUAAAUCUACUGAAACGUUGGGACACAACUGAAGAGUACUCCGUGUAAUGAUGUAAGUGAAUAAUACUGGAGUACUUAUUGCUUUACACUACCUGGAAAAGGUUUGGGAUAACCGAUAAAAAAUGUUAUAUCCACAAACCCUUCAACUACCCUAGUUAAUCUGUGAAAUCAUUCUACAUGUGUGGAUUUAAGUGCAGCUGUUACAAUGUAAAUUCUUUACCUUAGAGAGGAAAGCUGAAGUUUUGUAGUUAAUCGGGCAACUUCAAAUUUCUAUAAAAUUCGGAAGAAAUUCUGAACUAGGUUAUUUAAUAAGAAAAAGAAACAAAUACAUUGGUUUGCCAAACCAAAUGCCGAGAGACAGCAAUUAAUUUCUUCUGUUCUCAUUCCGAAUUCAAAUCUUGUUUUGGUCGAGUAUUAUCAAUAUCUAAGUAAAGUUUCACAGUAAUUGUAGAAUAAGACAAAAGAUCUUCUUGGGUGAAUAUUGCGACAUAGUUUUGUUUCUGGCUGCUACAGAAUAGCAUCUUAGAUGCUGUUGGUAAAAUAAGGACAAUAUAAUUCCCUUAUUUUCAUUUCCUCAAUUACAUAUAACAAGAAACCAAUAAUUAACAUUAAAGUAGUACAGUUCUGUCCAUAUGGAAAUAAGCAGAAACAGGGAAUUCCAUUCCGCGAAAUGUUACAAUGAAACAUUGAACAUCAAAUUACUUUUGUGCUUAGAGCGAAAAUAUUAGAUAUACUUCCUUUAUUGCCUUGAUCACACACGGGAAUUCGGGUGAUUAAGGUCGAGGUAGACUUCAAACUUUUCCCCUGAAGAAUCACAUUAUGAUCGUCAGAUGAAAAGUAAGACAAGCAUGCAUGAAUAAGCAUACAUAGACAUACAUAUAUAAACAGAUAGAAUCACAUAUAGGCGCGUCACAUGUAGAUAUUUCAAAUUUAUUUUGUAAACUUUCUGGGAGAACAAAGCAUUCUUUUUCAUUCCCAACCAUGAAAAUAAUCUGAUUGUUAUAACAUUUUGUGAUUAAUCCAAGUAAAAUAAACAACAGUGUUACAUAUCUCUACCAAGUUGGAUUGUUAAAGACCCAUAUAAUUACACGUCUAUUAAAAUAUAAUUGAAAAACCACACUUAUAGUUUAUAAAGUAGCUUUGUUUGAAUUUCGGAUGUACUUUUACCUGAAGAUUUGUCUCCAGCAGUACGCUCACGGCAACGUGACCCCACAAAGGGAAAAUACAGAGAUUGAAGACAGAAGCCCCAGCUUGGAAGGUGUUCAAAUGAUGAGAGUAACAGACAGAGAGACAGAGAGAGGGAGACAGACAGACAGACAGACAGAGCUAGAAGAGAGAGAAAGAGAGAAAACAAGAGAGAGAGAGAGAGAGAUGACUAGCAAAAUAGAAACAUUGAAGGAAGAGUUCAUUGAAUACAACAGGCCCAGUGCAAUCUCUUAUAACUAGUUGUCGUGACAGGCAAAAAUCUAGACUGAAAUUGAUUAUGGUAUGCGGACUAAAUAUAAGUGGAUUCCGUAUCAUCCGUCAUUUUACGAACUGUAUGAGUAAUAAGGUAAGAAAAAGAUGAAUGGCAAAGACAUAGAUAAACGAGAAAUAAGGAGACAAUACGAUGUUAAAGGAAGGGAUCUUGACUGACUGUCCCCUACCUCUUUCCCUCUCUCUCUCUCUCUCUCUCUCUCUCAUCUAUCUAUCUAUCUAUCUAUCUAUCUAUCUAUCUAUCUAUCUAUAUAUAUAUAUAUAUAUAUAUAUAUAUAUAUAUCUGUCUAUCUAUCUAUCUAUCUAUCUAUCUAUCUAUCUAUUGAUAUAAAAACAUUUCACUCUCUCCCAUUCUCUCUCUCUCUCUCCCUCCUUCAGUCAUAUCAUUAUCACUAUUUGUUUGCACCAUUCAAUUCGCCAUACUUCCAAGAAUGAGCGGGUCUUUUUCGUGGUCGGGUUUUUUGCUGAACAGCAUAUCGCCUUUUUAGCAAAAUAUAAGCGUAUAAGAUAAGAAUUCUUUCUCUAAGCCAUGGUUUUAUAAAUUCAUAUGUAUAUGUUAAUAUUAUGUCCGGUGAGGAGUAAAGUUAACCUGUACUUAUGAACUAAUACUACGACAUUUGAUCACUUCACUUAUAUAAUACAUAUGUUUUACAUUAAAAGAUUACGCUGGAAUCUUUCUGUAGUUUUAUAUAUCUAAUAGCAUCGCGGUAAGUCACAGGAUAAAUAAAAAUUAGUUUUUUCCGUCAAACCAUCUUUAUCGAAUAAAAUCCUUGACGAAUUUGCACACAGACAUAUACAAACAGUUGUUUUGAAAAUAUGUAUUACAGCUGCAUUUCUUAACACUACCAAACAGUCAUAUAUUAAGUUAAUUACUACAAUAUUACGAUAAUAUACUGGAAUAUAACAAAUACAAAAACAAGCGAAUAUAACAUUUUUCUUUACUGUCAUUCACUAGUUAUCAACUCUUUUCCCGUUUUGUUAUAUGUUCAUAUAUGUUAGGUAGGAUAUUACUAUAUAUGACUACUGAUAUCUUCGGCAUGCAGUCACAAACCGCAAGGAAGUGAAGUUGAGUAAUAAUUAUGCCUUUCUUAGUAGCACUGAUGCUGAAACUGGCUUGCAGAAUCAGUAUGUGUUGAGUUCAAUAAAUUUUGUGGUGUUGUUUUGAUUUCACCAUUUAUAUAGAAAUUCAGCAGGUCAUUUUAAUAAACUGUAAUGAAAUGUAACAUUAAAUAUAUUUUUAAAUGACUGAGAAAAUGCAAUAUUAUUGUUAAAUUUAACCUUACUAUAUUUAACAUAAGAGCAUCACAGCGCUUCAUUCCAAAUAGCAUCAGAAACUUGUCACAAUUAAUAGAGGUAAUUUCGUACAUGUAUUCUAUAAAAAUAUGUAGCAGUUUCCUCAAAAUAAUUUUAAGAUAAUUAUGAAAAUAUGUAUUUUAAAACUUUCGCGAACGUUAGUUGCCUUUCGAAAAUAAGUGUAUCAAUAUCACAGAUGUUUCGACAUAUUUUUCUGUGUGUCUCACUGCAUUUGACAGAUGCUUCUAACUAUAUUAUACGUGUUAGUAUUUGGCUCUUAUUUACUUAUAAAUGUCCUACCCACUCUCAUUGAAUACUAUCUUUAUUUAACAAUAUUCUUAUUAAAAUUCCUUUUAAAAUUACUUCAUUCUGUUAACUUAAAGGAAACGAAAAUCUAAUUUAAUUUCUAUUUUGGUUUAUAUUUUGUUCCUCUGUGUUCAUUGUUUAAGGAAUAAGAGUCUUAAAAGCAACAAUGUAAAGAAAGGAACAGCUAUUUUGUUGUUUUCAAAAUCAUGUCCACAUGCAGUUUAGAUUAGGUUACAGGAGUUCAAAGGUUAUAUAUCAUCAGGACACUUUUGCUGUCAGUAUAUCUUCAUAAAGGCAAAAAUUGGACUCUAGAUAUUCGGAGUGCUUUAAUAUCUGUCCGUAUCGUAUAACUAAACGAAAACUGCAAAUCAAAAAUGACAAGUGAAGUUAGAAUAACCGACAUAGUAUAGUAAUCCAAAAGUGUCAUUAAGUCAAAUCUAAUGCAUUCUUGAAGAUUUCAAUAGACUUAUUACUUGGUGUAGACAUAAGAGUCAACAUUAAUGGGAAAGUAUUCUUGUCGGUAAAAUGAAUAUUCCAACGAAUAUUGUUUAAACUAAUAGCCAUUCAGGACAGCGUUCCCCUUAUAUCUUUGUCUUUUUUGGCUUUCAAGAUAUUUUAAAAGAAUUUAUGAUUUUAAACAUUAAAUAUAACGUUAUUGAUAUCAUACUAAGUUCUAUUAUCUGACGUGUUCAAUUGUUCUCCAAGAGAAUUAAGUCGACAUCAAGUUGAAGGUGAUAUUUGUCAAGGGAAUUGAAUAGAUGUCAAGGUGAUGGUUAUGAAUUUCAGAAACAAAUAAGAUAACGCCAAGCAAAUUGAAAUGGCAUACACAUCCCUUGAUGUCUAUUUUUCUACUGUGUGAUUGUAGUUUUCCUCUCUUUUUUAAGAAUUGAAGAAACAAGAAAUUUCAUAUAUUCUAUGC
rnacentral:lncRNA from 1 species